ACUCUCUCUCGCUCUCUCUCUCUCUCUCUCUCUCUCUCUCUCUCUCUCUCUCUCUCUCUCCCCUAGCCGAGUUGCUCCACCAAAAACUUGAAACCUCAGACCGACGAUCGAUGCCGGCAACCGACAAUCAGCCUCUCCUCCUCCUCAUCCGGAUCCAGCCUCCUUAAACCUCUCACCUCCGCUCAAAACACAUCAACCUCUUCUCUCUCCCUCUUGAAGCAGAGAUGCUACCUCGACAACGAAGCCAUCGCUGGCGGGAUAUCUCCGGCGAUGACGACAACGACUGCGACAUUCACGGCGACGACGAAGAGGAAUUGUGGCAACCAUUCCACCUCUCUCUCUUGUCUCUCUCCUCUCUCGAUCAAUCUCUCUCUCACCACCGUUUCUCCCAUCGUCGGAAUUGACCGGAUCUCCUUGUCUGCCGGAGCCGCUACCCUGCCUUCAAGGAGGUCGUCGGUGAAGGCCGGGUUCCCGGGUUGGAUUUGAGGGAAGGAGAAAUUUCUUGAGGUGGGUGGAGAUUUGUGUGUGGCUGUGGUGUACGUUAGGGAGGGAGUAGAAGUAGAGGAAAGGGAUGUAUGAUCUCUGGAGAGGCAGCUGGAGACAAUUGGGUUUCUCUUCCGAACCGUUUGUCUCCUCUACGUCUCUUCUCUCUUUUACUCUUCUUUUUUGGUUUCUUUGAUUAUUUCGCAUCGAUUUGGUUUCUAGGUGGGUGUAAAGAGAGGAAAUUACGUCAGUUUAAGUCAGUUUUUUUUUUCUUUUUCUGUUUUUAUAUCCUUACAUUUGAAAGUGAUUAUUGAGGAUUGAUAAUUGAUUAUUGGGGCCAAUAAGUUAUUAUUUGAGGUUUGUAACCUGAUUAUUGAGGGUCAGUAAGUGAUUAUUGGGUAAUUACUGGGUGUCAGUAACUGAAAACUAAGUGAUUAUUGGGUGUCAGUAACUGAAAACUAAGUGAUUACUAGGUGUCAGUAACUGAAAACUAAGUGAUUACUGGGUGUCAGUAACUGAAAACUAAGUGAUUACUGGGUGUCAGUAACUGAAAACUAAAAGUUAUUGGGGGUCAGUAACUGGUUACUGGGUGUCAGUAAUUAAUCAAUAACUGGUUACUGGGGGUUAGUAACUGGUUAUUAUGGGUCAUUAACUGGUCAGUAACUGAUUAUUGGGGGUCAGUAACUGGUUACAGGGGAAAAUCCGGUGACCGAAAUCCGGCGGUCGGGGAAAAUCCGGUGACCAGAAUCCGGCGGUCGGGGAAAAUCCGGUGACCGGAGUCCGGCGGCCGGUGACCGGAGUCCGAGGUUCCGGCCAAGUCUUUUCAUGUUGAAGAGGUGAGGGCAAAAUAGUCUUAAAAUAAUAUGGUUUGUUAAGACUUUAGUAAAGAUUUGUGCAUUUGGGUAUAAAGAUUUGUGCAUUUGGGCAUAAAAAAGGUUACCUUAUAUUGAAAUGGGCUAAUGCAAAAGAUUAUCAUUGGAAUGGGAAAUAAGGGGUUUGAAUUAGUACUAAAUGGACAUUUUCUCAUAUUUAAAUGUGAUUCGUGAAAUGUUUAUUUACCAACCAUAUGAUAAAUUUCUUUUUGCAAAAGUCCUUAUCACAUGUUGACAGAUCUGAAAAGCAACAGAUGACACCAUCCUCAGGGAUGUGGUUGCCACUGUAAAGCCAAUAUUUAUUAAAUUUGGUUCCGUUUGCCUCUUUGAAUUUUGGGGUAAAGGUCAUUCUGUUUUUUCUAAUUACGUUGGUCCAAAUUUUAAAAUUAACUCCCAAUCAUGACACCAUUUGCCGAGUUGGCCCCCGACAUGGACCCUCAACCGUCCAUGCCAUGGAAUAAGUUUUUUUUUUUUUUUAAUCACUGUGAUCGAGUUUGUAAGAAUAUUUUUAACAGUUUCUUUAAAAAAAAUUUUAAUAGAAAAGUAAAAACCAAAAUCUCUAAAAAAAAAAUUUGUUCUAACUCCAGCUUCAACAGCUUCCUCAUUUUGGAGAUUUCAAUAUUUAUUAUAACAAUAAAAUAUUCUACAUCCUUAUUUAUUAUAACAAUAAAAUAUUCUUUAUUUAAAAAAAUUUAAAAUAACGGCUACUUUCUAACGGCUAGUUGACGUCUACGUUUACAAUUGACUCAAUGAAAAAUCAUAUUGAGCUAAUCGAGGGAUGAUCUGUUGUUGAGGAGGUCGGUGAAAUUCAAUUGCAAAUAACUCAUGUGCAUAAAUGUAUUUGGAAGCAAUCAUAUGAAUAUGAACAAUCCAUGAAGUACAACUUUCCUUCUACACAUGUAAAGACAAAACAUACUAAAACAAGAACAAAUCUUCAGGAUUCAGAAAAAUCCAUAGCAACAGCAACAUCAACUUAGAAAAAUCACCAAAUAUUCAUUUUAAGACCAAAUGACUUGAAAUCAGUUGUGAAACAGACAUUAAAAUGUCUACUUUUACAUACAAGAAGAUCAGAUAUUAAAUAAUUUAAGUAAGAGUUUGAAACUGAGCAGAAAACAAAUAUAUACAGUUAAAAUUCUAGAACUUGUUUCCAAUGCAGACUAAACUUUAAAAAUUCACCGAGUAACCAAUUUUCAUCGAAAUAAGCCGAAAAUUUCCAGAUUGCUAGAUAACUAACUUAAAAGAAACCUGUCAAAUUUUCAGAACAUUUAAAGACCAGUAAGCUAGGUAAAACAUAGUUCAAAUAGAUCCGAACAACAGUUUUACAGAAAAUUCAGUAGAACACUGCUACACUUCAGAAAUACUGAUAUAGAGGAACCAAAAUCCUGAGAUUCUGCUAUCUACUACUGCAACUUAAACAUAUUAUACUUACUCAAAUUAAUGUCUUCAAUAGAUUUAUCAUGCAACAAUAUAUAUACUAUAAGCAAUACAGCAAAUCAAACAACAAAAAAUAAAUGAUAGUCAUCAAAUCUGCAUAAAAGGAUCUACUAAUUGAAAUGCAUGUAGAUACCUACGCAAGCAAGAGAUUCUAAUUGAAACAGAAGUAAUUUACCUUCACAGAUUUUGUGUGAUCUUCACCUACCAAGCUUGACGGGAUAAGGCCAAAUGAAUCAAGCUCAGAGUGAUUGAACAGCCCUUGAAUUGAUGUUAAAACUAUAUCCUCGCACCUAGACAUGCAGCAAACAGAAGAACCCUCUUUCAGACGAAGGCACAUACCCAAGCAUCUUAAUAGAAAAAUAAGACAUAUUGAAGCAAGUGUAUACAUUCAAUAAUUAAGGAUUCAAUCAAUCAUACCCGUAUUAAAACAUCAAAUAGGAUAUAAGAUAUUUCUUCUGGCCAGAUUACGUCCCCGAGGACGGACAAAGUGCUGUGAAGGGAGUGUUGACCCAGGUGUCAAGGAUCUGGAUGGUGGAUUCCGACGAGAUUGACAUGCCAGAGACGGCGAGGACAAUGGAGUUGACGAUGGACCGGGCAUCGAAGGCGCCGGAGGAGGAGAGACUUGUGGCGGCGAAGAUUCCAUUGACAUAGAUCGUGAUGGCCAACGUCAGCAACGAUGAAGUAAUAGGAGGUGCCGAGAUCUUCGACAUUGAUGUUGAGAAAACCGAGGUCCGAGUCGUCAGGAGUCUUGGAAACAUUUAUUGCUUUUGCUUCGGUAAAUUUUUGCCCGAUUGCUACAAAUUUGGGGAAGAAGGCACUCUUUCUUCUCUGUCCUCAUUCUGGGGAGUCAGACAGAGAAACUGUUAGACUGAAAAAAGACCCAAUAUUCUCAAAUGGGAGUAAAUCAAGAAUAUGAAAAAGCUGUCGGAGAUACUCUAAACGAAGAGGUUUAAUUUCUUGUCUGUUCAGGAAACUGUAAGUUAGAGAAUCAGUUUUCUAUUUUACUAAGUCUUUGUUUCUGUUUAAUAAUACCUAGUCCUAAGGAGCUGUUAGAGUUAGAAUAGGACUUAUUUUGUAUUUCAAACGUGAUAGCAGCAGUAGCUAAUCACGACCUGCUUUGUAGGAGUUCUGUUAAGAUGUAAGGCUAUUUAAAGCCAAAGUUGUUCAAUAAGAAGGUAGAUCAUUCAUCCAUAUUGUUCUUGAGCUGUGAUUGUUGAGUUUUCAUUCAGGGCUUUCUAACAAUCUGGUAUCAGAGCCCUUAACGGGGCCUGAUUGUGCAUCUCGGGUUAGAGUGAAACAGUGUGUGUGUGAGUAAACAGUGUGUGUAAGAGAAGUGAUGGCAGAAGCAAGCUCAACGCAGCUGAAGCUUUUGGCUGAGAGCAACUCAGCUCCAGUAUCCAUCCCUCUNNNNNNNNNNNNNNNNNNNNCCGCCCCCCCCCCCCCCCCCUUCCUCCUUUCUGUGAAAUAAUUUAUCACCGUUCAAUAUCCAUCCAACUGAGAAAUCAAGUAAUCCCUUUCAUUCCUAUCGGAAAAUCAGUAUUUCAUUUCUUGCCUUUUAGUUUAUUACUGUAGUAGCGCCGGCUUCAACCUUGUGCUUGGAGAUGACUGCUUCUUGUUCUUGUUUUAGCCGUUGUUUCAACUAUGAUGUCUUCCUGAAUUUUAGAGGUCAGGACACUCGCAAGAUCUUUGUCGGCCAUCUCUACAAAGCUCUAGAUCAGAAAGCAAUAAGCACCUGCAUAGAUGCUGAAGAGCUUAGAAAAGGUGAUGACAUUUCAGAACUACUGAUAUGCGUUCAAGAGUCAAGGCUUUCAAUAGUAGUUCUCUCUCAAAACUAUGCUUCUUCCACAUGGUGCUUAAAAGAACUUGUAGAAAUCUUGCAAUGCAUGGAUACUAGGAAGCAGAUAGUUGUGCCCAUUUUCUACGAAAUAGAUCCCUCUGAUGUUCGCAGACUCAAGAGAAGUUUCGCAAAAGCUUUUGCUGAAUAUGAACAUGAUCCUAACAUCAAAAAUGAAGAUUUGCAGAGCUGGAAGUCCGCUCUAACCAGAGUUAGCAAUUUGUCUGGCUGGGACUCGCGUGAUUACAGGUAACUUUCUUCCUACUCUUCAAGCAUCAAAAGACACUAAAAUUUUCUUCAUUCUAAUUAAAUUAUGAUAUGGUUCAUACGUAAUUUAUGUAGCAAAUAACCGAACUCAGCAGACACUACCUAGGUUCAUGUUUUAUGAUGGGUUUAUGAUGGAUUUAAAAUUUUCUUCAUUCUUCAUGUUUUAUGAUGCUACAAGCACAGAAAGAACCACUGAGUUCCUUGUCAUCUAUAAGCUUAAAAAGCACACUGAUUUUGAAAGUUUCACUAUAAAAGUUUAAAGUAAAUUUAUAAUCAUGGUGACAAUGUUCCAUCUAUUCUAAUUGGAAUUACUUCUUUGAUUGCCUAUAGUUUGUAUAUAACCUCACUUUUAGUGUUUUGUCAUUACUGUUUGCUCUGAACCUUUAAUUCUUAACAAUGGUGUUUUCAAAAUUUCGUAGGGAUGAUUCCAAGCUCAUUGACGACAUUGUAGAAAAUAUAUUUAAUAAAUUGAUCCACAUUUCCUCAAGUAAAGCAAACAGUUUGGUUGGAAUGGACACCCACUUGAAGGAAAUGGAAUUGUUAUUAUGUCCUGCGGUAACCGAUGUUUGCAUCAUUGGAAUAUGGGGAAUGGGCGGCUUAGGUAAAACAACAAUUGCUAGAGCUCUUUAUGAUAGAAUCACCUGUAAGUUUGAGCACUAUUGCUUUCUUGAAAAUGUCAAUGAAGGUUUCUUGAAGAAGGGCAAAAUACUAAUGCAAGAAGAACUUCUAUCCAAAAUCUUGAAGGAAAAGGUGCAGAACCCAGGCUUAUUGAACAGAGGUUCUAGUAUGAUAAUGGAAAGGCUGGGUAAGAAAAAAGUAUUACUUGUUCUUGAUGAUGUAGACAAUUUUUCCCAGAUUGAAACCUUAGUCGGGAGACGUUCAUUCGGUAGUGGAAGUAGAAUCAUUAUCACAAGUAGAGAUUUACAGUCACUAAGCAGUGUUGAUGCGACAUAUAGUCCUUCUUUCUUAAGUGAAAAUGAAGCUCUUGAACUGUUUAGGCAGCAUGCCUUCAGAACAAACCAACCCACUGGAGAGUACAAUCAUCUCUUAAGGUCUGUCAUAAAAUAUGCUCAAGGUCUGCCUUUAGCACUUAAAGUCUUGGGAGCUUUCCUAAAUAACAAAAGUGCACUUGAGUGGGAAGAUGUUUUGGAGAAAAUAAAGAAAAUCCCUCACAGAGAUAUACAGGAUGUGCUUAGAACAAGCUUUGAAGGACUGGAUGAUUUAGAGAGGGAGAUAUUUCUAGAUAUUGCAUGCUUCUUUAAAGGGAUAAGCAAAGGCUAUGUAACAAAAAUCCUAGAUGGUUGUGGCUUUUUUUCCCAUUGUGGAUUAAGAGUUCUAGCUGAUAGAGCUCUCAUUACUAUAUCAGAUUGGAACAUGGUUGAGACACAUGAUUUACUACAGGAAAUGGGUCGAGAAAUUGUCCGCCAAGAGUCUGUUAAGGAGCCUGGGAGACGCAGUAGGUUGUGGAGUUCUGAAGAUGUUACUAAGGUGUUAACUCAGAAUACGGUGAGAUAUGUAUACCAUAUGUUUUAUAAAUGAUUGUGUUAUAGCUAACUUUUAUAUUACACUGACUUGCUGUUUAAUGGGUAAGUAUCAGCUUAUACCAAAAUCUUUCAUGCAUGGGAAACAGCAAGUCCAUACAAAGGAAUAUCUGCCAUCAUUCCUUUACAUUGUAUUAACCUUCUUAGAAGGCCAGGGCAAGCCUCUGAAUCAAGUUUAUAUUAUACUGACUUGCUGUUUAGUGGGUAAGUAUCAGCUUAUACCAUGCUGGGAAACAGCAAGUCCAUAUAAAGGAAUAUCUGUCAUUAUUCCUUUACAUUGUAUUAACCUUCUUAACAGGGCAAGCUUCUGAAUAUGUGCAGUCAGUUAAUUUCCACUAUUUUUGUUAUGUAGGCUACCGAAGUGGUAGAAGCCAUAUUCAUAGACUUUUCAAAGUUGAAAGAGGUAUACAUGCAUGCUGAAAGUUUUGUUAGAAUGCGAAAACUAAGGCUGCUCAAGAUACAUUACAACUCUGGUGACGAUCCAAGUGACGACUGUAAACAACACAUGAUUGGGGACUUAAAGUUUCUUUCUCAUGAGCUGAGGCUUCUUCUCUGGCAUGGAUUCCCCCUAAAGUCCUUACCUAACAAUUUUCAGCCAAAUAAUCUUGUUGACCUUGACAUGCGGUAUAGUCUCAUUGAAGAACUUUGGGAAGGAACUAAGGUACAAUCUUCAUUUGGAUUUGUAAAUGUCAAUUACUCGUUGGAUACCUUAUGAGUUAUUUAAUUCAUCUUGUUGUUCCAACUUGCAGCCUCUGAAAAAGUUGAACUUCAUCAAUUUAAGUCACUGUCAAUACCUUAACAGAAUCCCCGACUUCAGUGAGGCGCCAAAUCUCGAGAGACUGAAUCUUGAAGGUUGUGUAAGUUUAUUGGAGGUUCACCCAUCCAUUUCAGCUCUUAGAAAACUUGUUUUCUUGAGUCUAAAGGGAUGCAAAGAACUUAAGAGUGUUUCAAGCAGCAGCAUUGGUAUGAGAUCUCUUAAAAUACUCAAUCUUUCUGGUUGCUCAUGUCUUGAGAAGUUCCCAGAGAUAUCAGUAAUUAUGAAGGAGCUAUCAGAGCUUUCUUUAGAUGAUACUGCAAUCAAAGAGCUGCCUACAUCAAUUAAUAAUCUUACUGGUCUUGUCACUUUGAAUCUCAGAGAUUGUAAAAAACUUGAGAUUCUUCCGAGCAGCAUUCAUAUGAAAUCUCUUAAACACUUAUAUCUUUCUGGCUGCUCAAAUCUCAAAACUUUUCCAGAGAUUUCAGAAGUUAUGGAGCUAUCACAGCUUUACUUAGAUGAGACCGCAAUUAAGGAACUGCCCUCAUCUAUUGAUCGACUUCAGGGGCUUGAAAUGUUAAGUAUGAGUAACUGCAGGAGCCUCCUCUAUCUUCCAGACACUAUUUGUAACUUGGCAAAUCUUACAGAGCUAUAUCUAGCGGGGUGCUCAGGGCUUUGUAACUUGCCUGAAAACUUGGGGAAGUUAGAAUUCUUGAGGGACCUUGAAGUAGAGGGAAGUGGUAUAACACAGCUUCCAUUCUCUAUCUUACGUUUGAAGUUUGAAAAGUUAUCAUGUGCAGGAUGUAAAGGAAUGAUGGCACCCUUUUCAUCAUGGCCAUCACCAAUCCAAGACUAUUCUAGUUACUCAGGUCUGCAAGUUCUUAAUUUAAGUGACUGCAAUCUGUUGGAGUUAUCAGACAGUAUUGCUCACCUCUCUUCAUUGCAUACGCUAGAGCUGCGCAGAAAUAAUCUUGAGAGCCUGCCUGCAACAAUGAAUCAACUGGUUCGUUUAACACAUCUCAAUGUGGAAGCUUGUAAGAGUCUCAAAUCAAUACCAGAACUUUCUUCAAGUAUAAAGUACAUAGAUGCGCAUGAUUGUACAGCUUUGCAUACAGUUUCAAAGCCAAAACCUCAGCAACAUACACAUCAUUCCUUCACAUUUUCUAAUUGCCUCCAGCUGGUACAAACAAAUCUAUUUAACGAUAUCGUGGAAACUCAUUCUCAUUGUCAGGUCUCUCUCUCUCUCNNNNNNNNNNNNNNNNNNNNUAGGUCGUCUCUCUCUCUCUCUCUCUCUCUCUCUCUCUCUCUCUCUCUCUCUCAUUCACACACACACACAUACACACACACACAUUUAACUUGAGUUAACAGUUCGUUUCAAUAUAUAGGAUAACUGUCUGCAAGUUCUUUCCUUUAAAAUGUGUCUUCCUGGGAGGGAAAUUCCCAAUUGGUUCAACCAUCAGUGUAGCGGAUCUUCAAUUACAGUGCAACUACCACCAAAUUGGUUAUGUAACCAGUUCUUUGGAUUCGCUAUAUGUGCUAAAUUUAAGGGUGCUGAUAUCCAUACAUCCCAUCUCUCUGCUAGAAGUUUCUGUACUUUAUCAGGAAAUCAUGGUAAAAUUGCUUUCAACUUUGAUUUGCUACGUUGGCGUUUCAAAAUUGACAGAUUCCUAGAGUCAGAUCACAUGUUCCUGGGAUAUGUGUCAUGGUCUAAAUAUCGGCUGGUUGAACAAGGAAAGCCAAUCAAUGAAAGAUAUUACACUGAAGCCACAUUUGAGAUUGUAGUAGAAAAUGGAAUUCAUGCACCCGGUUUCAGGACAGAAAUAAUACAACAUUGUAUCACAAGUUGCGGAGUUCGUUUCUUUACCCGGCCCAAAUGUGAUCAUGAAAGAUGUGAAAUCCUUUUGGCUACCAUGCGGAAGAGAAAGAGAGAGAGAAAAACAGAAAGGGGCAGCGGUGGAGUGGGCAGGUUCAUUCCCAGGUAAUAGAUAUUUGAAGAGAUUGAGAACUAACACUUGAGUUUCUCUGUCAUUUCUCUCAUCACAAUUUGAUAUUGACUAGGUUUAUGGCCUCACCGCCCUCAGUAGACUCCUGAUUCUCAUUUGAUGAUCAUGUUAUAGUCCUGUGUCCUACAUUGGAAUUUGCUUUUGCCAUGUUUGUGUUUUUAGUUUGUUGUUUGGAUACAAACCGAAAUGGGGGAGUGUUGAUAAGUUUGAUGGAUGGGAACAUUAUAUAUAUGGUAUGCCUCAUUCCAAAGAUUCAUUCUUUCAUAUAGAUCACCUGCAUUUAUACACUUCUGAUAAGCAGCAUAAGCCCCCCUCUACUACGUGGUUAUAAUGUCAACAGGGAGAGGUAUACGUGUGUAUAUCUGGAAUGGGAAGUUCUAUAGUAAUCGCCACGUACAUUUAUUACCUCAAGUGAUAUUGCUAACAACGGAAUUGCUAACAGUACUUUAACACUUAAGUAAUACAGUUCGAAGAAAAUAUAUUCCUCUCUUAUUAUUGUGCAAAAGGAUACAAUGAUUAUUGUCUAAUGUCUUCUCUCACAAUAACACUAAACAGAUACCUCUCUAAUUGUUUCGCUCUCUAAUCUAAACAGAUGUUGUCUCUGUUUCACUCUGGUAUCUAGAACUAAGCUAGACACAUUUAUUUAUAGAGUCUAAAUCUCUAUAAAUCCUUAUCCAACUUGAAGAGUACUCCUUAACUAAGUUAGACAACUAAUCCCAAACUAAGUUGGAAAAUUAUUCCCCUAACAAGCUAGAAAAGCUAUUUCCUUAACUAACUUGGAGAAGAAAUUGGCUAAUUUCUAAAAGGCUAGGAUACACAGGAUACACCCGUAUCAGUCCAAAGGGAUACAAUUGACUUAUUUUCUUGCAUAACUAAUGUCAUGGUUUUUUUUUUAUUAGAAUCCAUCAUCCCACUACAAAAAAUGUUUAUUUUGGCUAUCAUGGCUUGCGAUGACACACAAAUGCCGUCGUCAAUAGUUCUACUUUUGCAACGGUAAAUGUGGUGGCAGAAAAAAAAAAAUUUGUGACGGCAAUGCCAUGUUGUGACAAAAAAAUAAAAUUAUUUGUUACGGCUAUAUCAUGUCGUGGCAUAAAAAUGAAGAAUUUGUUUAAUGUUGCUGUACAAAUUUGUUGCUACAUUUUAGUUGCCGUAGCAAAUGAUCUCUCUGAAUCAAAAAACCUAAGUCCGAAAACAGGCGGCAGUUCUAAAUUUUGAGCGCUACAAGUUUACCGGUGUCUUCGGAUUAUUUUUUCAAGCAGCAAGUUAUUUUCAACGAAUUUUUGAAGUUUCGGGUAAUUUUUUNNNNNNNNNNNNNNNNNNNNGAGAGAGAGAGAGAGUUCGAGCAGAGGGAGGAGGAGCGAUGCCGCUCCGUCUAGCUGUGUCUCCGCCAUCGUUAGGCCGUCGUUGGACGAUCGGCGACCACCAUUCAGCUUGCCUCUCUCUCAUCUACCUCUUCCUACCUACCAAUUCCACAUACAAACAUAGAUUUUUCAUAUGCAUGAAAUCCAAACCUUAAAUCCCCAAAUCCAAUUUCUGACUGAAUUUCUCCCUCUCUAGUGAACUCGUCCUCCGAGAAGGUAAACUUAUCACUUCCUUCUUCUUUUCACUCCUCCUUGAGCUUUGAUUUCCAUAAAUAAAGCCCAAAUCUUUUGCAAUAGCUUUUCAUAUGUAUGCAUUUUUUUUUAAUAUUUUAUACGAAACUAACACAUUACAAAGAGAAACCUUUCAGGCAAUCUGAGUUUACACUAUUAAAUAAAACAGCUCUAGAAGCAGCUGCUAGGUAUCCAUCUUGCCACACACAACCAUUGAGGAGUUGGUGACCUUCAUUUGCAAAAGCAUUUGUCACAAAGUUUGUUUGUAGAAACAUGGUUAAAGCAAACUAAGGAGAACGAGCUUGCAAUAAUCCGAAUAUCUUAGACAAUCUUCUGCAGUUUCCCAUUGAUGACAUCAAUCACCUUCUACUUAAACAUUCUUGUAGCCUCAGUCUCUAGCUUUAACAAGACUUUGUCUAAGAGCCGUGGCUUCAGCUGUUGGAAUAGUAGUACUUCCUAAACUCUUUGCAGCAGCGAGAAUCACAUUCCCUUCACUAUUUCUGGAAACAUUACCUCUUGCUCGUUCUAAGGCUGAUAUGUUGAAAAGGAUCUGGAAGUUGAAUAUACCCCCUAAAGCUACGAUUUUUCUUAGUUGUUUGCUGGGGGAGGCUGAAAACAAGAGCUUUUUUAGCUCGUAUUAUGAAUUCUAUUUAUAACACUUGUGCUCUAUGUGGUUCAGGAGUUGAGGACCUCAAUCAUUUGUUCUCUUCCUGCACGACAGCUUUUGUUGUGUGGAAUUUUGUUAACCACUUGCCCAACCUAUCCUCCUUCUCCAAUUUUGAGGAAUGGCUGGUCUCUACUUUUUAGAACGGUCAACCUCUCACUGUUGAAGACAGCUUGUUGGUGUGCUGGCAGAUCUGGAAGGUGAGAAACAAUGUUAUAUUCCGGCUUGCUCAAGUCACUCCUACAACUAUUGUGCAUAUUGCAGCUGCUACAGGCUCCGCUUAUCGUCUCAUUAACAGAAAGAUCUUCUCCAUCUCUCCUAAAAAUUUGGAGACCAUUAAAUAGAUUCCUUAUGCUCCUAACUGGUUUAAGCUAAACUUUGACGGCUUAGUAACUUGACUAACUUCUAAUUCAUAUGCUGCUGGUUUCGUUAUCAGAGACUCUGCUUGCUUUCCCAUUGUGUCGAGUGCGCGGAAGCUUCACCACUCUUCUGUUUCACAAGCUGAAUGCAUAGCUUGAAAAGAAGGGCUCCCUGCUGCUAAAAGACGCAACUGUAACUAAAUCAAAGUAGAAGGAGACUCUUUCCUUAUCAUCAAUUGUGUCAAAGGGUCUUGUGCCAUUUCUUGAAAACUAAAGUCCCGAAUUCGAGAUGUUUUAGCUCUUGUUGAGUCUUUUGUUUGCAUCACCUUCUCCCAUACAUAUCGAGAGGCUUGCUUGGGUUGGUCAUUCUCUUUCGUUACCGAUGUAUUGGUUUGAUGGGAUUUCUCCCGAAGCUCAAAUGACUCUUCUUAUAGAUUUUUCUUGUAUUGGUCGUCUUAGAGGCUCUUUGUUGUAAUCUCUUUUUCUUUUGAAAAAAAAACCCCAUUUCUUCAGUUGUCACUACCAAGAUCAUGGUAAACACCAUAUACAGUAAAAAAUCGAUAAACAAAUGUUUGAUAAAUUAAUAAUCUCGAUUAAAUAAUAAUUUUCUCCGGUCCUGACUCGGGACCAAUUCAUAUUACUAGGUAUCUCGCUAAAUGCAUUAGAUAAUAAUUCUUUUAGACUCCUUUUAGGUCCUAAUGAAUAUAUAAAGUAAUAAUUAUUUAAUUAAUCAUUUAAAAUAUCACAAAAAAUUAUUAAUUUCGAAAAUAGUCAGUUAUGACUUUCAUAAAUUUGGGUAAAACGAAGACCUGAAGUAGCCAUUACAUACUCUACCGCUAUUAUUUACCGAUAGACAAGUAGUUGUGAGGCAUACCUCACGUAGUACAUAUGAUAGACUAUCUUUUAAUAAUCGUAUUCAUAAAACACCCAAACCUAGUAACCUAAAGGGUGCACCCACAGGAAAUAGAACAAAUUCCUUAAAACAUAGAGGCACAGGAACAUGCAAUAGUAUCCUACAUGAUAAACCCGUAGGAAAUAGAAAAAAAAACUACUAAAAACCUGGAAUAGCAAAUAAACAUAGAGGCUCAUGAGGAAGCCCACUUGGAAGGAACAUCCAACUCUCAACCCUAGUGCACACUCAUACGUCAAAACCUUUAGCCGUCGCCGCCAUCAGCUACAGCCCGGAGCAACACCACCUGCCGUGGCCACAAACACACCCAUCGCCACCCCAACCACCACAAAGGACCGUCAUACCCAUACCAACUGAAACUCCAUGCGCAGCACUUGCACCAAACAUCACUGACGAUUAGAUCGCUGGCUCCGUCGUCCAAGAAACGUCCUUGGGCAAUUGACUCCUCAUCUGCACAGUCCGCUAUCACCUUGCCUCACCCAGCCAAAACAAAGCCGUCCAAGCUUACCAUCUCCUCCAUUAAACGAACCCCACGAGCAAUAGUCAUUAAUUUUAUAUCCGUAUCAACGACGGCAAGGCAAGGAGCCUGCCGAGACUUCAGGCUGCCGCCGGAUAUACUAGAUUUGGAGGAUGGCCUUCCUAGGCUAGGGUUUUGGUGUUCUCUCUCUCUCUCUCUCUCUCUCUCUCUCUCUCUCCAGUUUAUUUCAGUUGAAUAUACCGCCCUAGGCUAGGGUUUUGGUGUUCGCUUUUGAGAUUUAGGCCCGAUGGUAGUUUGACUCAGCCGGGCAAUUGCUGGCUGGCUACCUACCUACUUGUUGGGCUUGGGGAUGACCCGAUAGACCUAUAGCCUUCAUGGACCUAUCACAUGAAUGAACUGUCUAAUCUUGGAGGCAGAGCAACGUGAUUUUUCGUAAUGAUUCCAACAGAUGGCGCUAAAUGUUUCCGCAUAAUCCCGGAGGCUAUGUAGAAUCACGGUGGAACAUGAACAAGAAACAACAUGAGCAAGAGACACAAGGACAUAUAGUGGUUCACCAUGUCAUCGGAGGACAUGGCUAUGUCCACUUAAGAUUCUAUUAUCAUGGCCAAUAGGCCCUUGGGUGUUACAAGAGUUCUCCAACAUGGAGUGAGUAGGGAUUGAGAGGUUCAUUCUACAUAUAGGAAGCUUUCAUUUUAUAGCUAAGGAAGGUUCCCUCACAAAUUAUGUUUCCAUUGUGGGACUAACUACACAUAUAUCUUAUCAUUGUGUCUUCUUGUAGAGUUUGGAGAAACACCUUCCAGGAGUGAUACCGAUGAUCCUUCAUCAUGGUGAGGUAGCCUGGAUGUUGGUCUACCGAAUGUAUGUUGGAGGUAGAGCCUGCUGUGGUCGGAGCACGGUCUACGAGGUCGUUGCUUAUGCUUGGCCGGAUAAGAUAUACAUCGUAUCUACAUGUAUACCUUUGGUAAGUCAUUGAUUCGAUUACUAGAAAUCUUUUGUAAGCUUGGCAUCAGCAUCGUCUUCAUCUUCAUCUUGACAAUUUGCAGCUACCUCAGAAAACUCAACCAUGGAUUUUUAUUUUAAGUUUCUCUCACGUACUUGCAAAUGCUACUAAAUGGAUUGGUUGUUUGAACAAGUUUUUUGUUUGUGCAUCUAUUGCAAGAGUGUAGCUCGAUUUAUAUAAAGGGCCUGUUUCCAGGCGUUGCUGGUUUUGACAAAACAAUGGGUUAAAAAAAGGCUACUGGUUUUGGCUAAACAAUUAGCUAAUUAAUAUUACACGUGAAUCCUUGUGAUUUUGUCAAUUUCAUCAUUUCCACACGUUUUUGGUUUGAAACUACGAUGACUUAAAAAAGACAAUGGGGUUUGGCCAAACGAUGGGCUGAUUAAAAUUCUAUAUGAAUUCUCGUGAUUUUGUCAAUUUCAGUAUAUGAUAUGUAAGAUUUAUUUCCAAACACUUGCAGUUUCCAAAAAAACGAUGGGUUAAUAAAAGCUAAUGGUUUCGACCAAAUAAUUGCUACUUAAUAUUAUGCGUUAAUUCUCAUGAUUUUGUCAAUUUCAGUAUAUGAUAUAAGGCAGCUAUUUUCAAACACUUCUGGUUUUGACAAAACAAUUUUGUAAAAAGGACAAUGGUUUUGGCCAAACAUUAAACUAAUUAAUUGUGAUUGGGUGGGUACUCUUAUGAACCUCGGUCCGAAUACUAAUAGGGUGAGACUAACAUGCCAAUGUAACCGAGAUAGUUUGCUACCUCAUUCUCAAUAGAGAAAAAAAAAUGUACAUAAAAAUCCUAGUAGUUUUUUGAAUUUUAGGCCAAUGGUUGUUAUUUUAUCCGCCUAGAAUCCCACAGCAUGCUUGUCAUAUUUGCUUGCGGAUAAAGAUCAGCCUGAACUGACAAGCCGCGGUGGCGAUAUGCACAUUUCAACCUUCUGGCUGUCGACAUUGGCAAAAAUGCAGAAUUCACCCACCAUCUAAAGACCAGAAGUCAAUCAUCGUGUAUAAAGCAUUCUCCUGUUUUCUGCAACAUUUCAAUAUCUUCUCUUGCUUUGUCUUCUUCAGUUUUGGUGGUGUAUAUAUUUCCAUAUUGAUGCCAGCAUGUAUAUAACUAACAAAUCAAGCAUAGGCAGCAAACAUGCCGAUAGUCAAUUACAAACAAGUUCUGCUUAUGGCCUGAAAGUACUGAGGGAAAAACUAAUGAGUAUUGUUAUAGUAUCACCAACUUGGAAGCUACACUCUUCACUACCUGCUGUUCAGUAAGGCCAAGUACAGAAGAAUAUAAUGGUGUAUAUGGGGAACACAUUUCUUCAAAUCACCAAUGUAGCUACUAAAACAGUUACAACAACAUAUCUAUGAAAAAACUCAGCAUUGUUGCACCUUUGGCAGUCAUAUUACUCCGAAACUCCACAGUUCAGGCCCUUCAGGAAAAUUAUGAUGCCAAAGUGCACAAUUUAGAAUCUGGCAGGCAUUGUUUGAUGAAUGGCCUUUUGUUCCAACAGAUGAACCUUGUUUACUCCUUCAAGAUUAAGCCCUUUCUUUAAGUCCUCUAAUAAUAAUCCUCCUACCACAAAACUCCUGCAAAUGCCAUAGCAAUAAACCACAUCAAAACAAUGAAACAACAAUCAUACUUCCAAUAUCAAAUCAAUUUGAAAUUCAUGUACAUUACCGUUCCAUCCAAAGAGGCCGCUUUAUCACGCUCUGCAGCCGAAGAGAACGAGAUAAACCCAUAAGCCCGGUUCUUCCCUGCUUUUCGAUCAUGCAACACUCUAGCACUAGCCACAGUCCCAAACUUGCUGAAAUGGCUCCUCAAAGCAUGAGGCUGGACAGCCCAAGAAAGGUUACCAACAUAGAGCUUAUAAGGGCUUUCGUACACCAAGUUCUUCACCGGUGUCGAAUUCAAUGCCUCAGAGUUCCUAGUCCUCGGACUCAUAUGAACCGAAAAUCUAACCCGCAUCUCCCUCCCUGCUACAUCCUUCACAAAAACAGUCACCACAGUUUCAGUCUUUAUUCAAAUAGUUUCAAUUAAGUAACAAAAACAAAGAUAUAAGGGUUUAGGGUUUUAGACUUACAAUCCCAUCCAAUGCAGCAAUGGCGGCUUUUGCAGAAUCGAUCGACCCCAUUGUAACAUAACCACAGCCUCUGCUUAAACCAGUCUCCGGACUCCGGCAAACCUCGACGGAGAAAACAGUCCCGUGAGGCUUGAACAUCUCCAUCAAGUCCUCAAUGUCAGAGCUUCUCGGAAGAUUGCACACGUACAGCUCACACGGUCUUGGCUGCCGAUUCUGUUUCUCCAUUUCCAAUCCCUCCUCCCCUGAAACGUCGUCGUCAUUAUGCCUCUCGCACUCUUCAUACCCAUUAUCGCCUACCACUUGUUCUUCCUCCUCAGCCACUAAACUCACCGCCGCAUGUUCUUCUUCCACUACGGCCAACGCCGUCAAGACUCCACCUCUGUUGUUCUUCGGGUAUGAUAAAGAGAGUGGAACGGAACUCAAAACGAAUCGUUUCAGUGCAACUGGGAGUCCGGGGCUGGCGUUGUUGAUAGGCCAAGAGGGCGGAGAGGGUGCUAUGUUCAAGCAAGUGGCUGCCAUAGCCAUAGCUCAACCUACACUGAUAGAAAACCAAUUUUUUUUUUUUUCCUAUAUGGUGGUAACUGAAAGGGAUAAGAUGACAGGUUUUGUUUGGAUUUUUGUAGAAGUGCUCUUUGUAGAAGUGCUUUCUCUAACUAGCGUUUAAGGAGUUAUUUUAUAAUUAUUAAAAUUUACGUUUAAUUAGCUUUCCUUUUAGCUUUAAGUUAUUUAUUCUCCAAGUAUUGUAACCCAUAUAAACUUGAGUAUUGUAAUAGUUGUUAGAGAGCUUAUGUUUUAUGAUUUAAAUCAGUUGAUUUGCGGCAUGGAUUUGCCCUUUUCUACGAGUUUACUAAUCCUUAUUUCUUGUGUCUGUUGAGUGACUGUUGGAGGCCUGUUCUCGAUACAUGAUCCUUAUAAACUUCAUGUAUUUUGGAUGAGCUGGGAUGGAGUAGAUAUAGUAGAUAAAGGUCUUAUGUUAAUGUCUUAUUUUUACCAUCAUAGAAAGCACAUUAUGUAUUUAAUCAGUUCUCAAAUGAAUUCAUAAUAUUAGUUAGUGUAAUCUGAAAAAAAGCAACUCCUUAAUCUGAAAAAAGAAGAAGUAGAUAUUAGUUAGCGUUAGUGUAGUAAGAUUUUGACGAAGCAAUAUGAAUCUUGUAUAAGUUGUUUAUUAGAUCUUCUAAAAGAGAAAUUCGUCCGAAUCAUAUACGAACUUUUGCUCCUAAUAAAUUUUAGUAUAUCAAGUUUUAAAAAUAUCAGAACGGUAUCUCAUAUUUGCAUCCUGACCGAAGAUCGGUAUAUAUAACAAUUAAGAUGACCAAUAUACCCUUAAUAACUAUUUUUUUGUUUCUUAUAAAUUUUGGUAUAUCAAGUUUUAAAAAUAUCAGAACGGUAUCUCAUGUUUGCAUCCCGAUUGAAGAUCGGUAUAUAUAGCCAUUAAGAUAACGAAUUUACCCUUAAGUUAUAUUUUUUUCUUAGUUAUUUUUUAUUUGUUUUCAUAUUUCAGAAAUAUUAGAAGAGGUUUUAGAAUUUGAUAAUUUGGGUUGGCCUUUAUAAACUUGAUGAAGAUUGAAGAGGAGAAACAUAGAAGUUCAAUCCUUAAACACCUCACAAUUGAACCGUGGGAGUACAAGUAGUGUGGCGAUGCUCUUGCCACCCGGCAAGAAUUCUACGCCAGUCCUUGCCCUGCCUGCACCGGAUGGGACAGUCCAAGCUGUGGGACAACAAGAUCCAUUGGAUGCCUCCCUUGUUGUACCACCUCCUUUAUAAAGGAAGCAACACUUGCUAACACAAGAACAGCUUCUUUGGCAGCAACAUGGAAAAGAUGGGAUGCAAAUUGCAGGCAGGUGAGUUUGGCCAAGCUUUCCAGCGGGUCUGGCUACUAUGGUCCUCAACCGAUGAUGCCUUAUGGGAUGCCGCAGCCAGGAGGGUAUUACUAUGUACCCUAUUAAAAUUGGAACUGGAUCUUCUUCCUCACAUAUUGCAAAUACCUACAUAUAACCUUUCAUGCAGAGAUGCCUUGCUUUACUUUCUUUUGGGAAGAUUUUCUAUACUACCUUAUAUUGUCGACCUUUGUCUUUAUUUCUGUACUAUGGAGUGUAUGCACAGUAUAUGGAAUUUUUCAUUCCAGCUUGAUUACUAAUGGAAAAUGAAAACAUUCCAGCUUGAUUGCUAUAAGCUUAAGCAUUCAGGUGCCAAAUUAUUACAGAAAUCUGAGCAUUUUGGAGGAGAAAAAUUCGUGGAGGUACAAAAAUUUGUCACCAACAUAAAGUUCAGACACCGGUUAUGGAUUUUCUACUGCUCUGCACUAGAAAUUGAAACAACAGUCAGCGUGGCAAAACCUUCAGAAAUCCUUGAAAUGAAAAAACCAAUAUUCAAAAAUAAAUAAAUAAAUAUAAGAUAACAUAAUUUUGCAUCUCAGAUAAAAGAAAAAGAAGAAGAAAAAAAGACAAUCAUUGAGCAGAACUAACAAACACAUUGCAGAUAGAAGAUAGAAAUUUAUAAACCAACAGAGCUCAAAUGCUUGAAUGCAACACCCAAAUCUCGUUCUGCACAAGGAAUUUUGUACUAAUAAACCAACAAAGCUCAAAUGCUUGCAUUUAUCACUCAACACAUUACAAAUCUUCUAAUAAAUUUUCAGAUGUUACGAACUCGAUUACCACUGAAUCAACAAAGGAAUCUAUCGGAACUGAAAAUUCUUGAGAAAUUUCUGGAUUAUGCACUGAAUCAACAUAGGAAUGCGUUGGAACGAAAAAUAUGAAAUUUCGCGAUUAUCCACUGAACCAACAGAGGAAUGCGUUGGAACAGAAAGUUUUUUGGAAGUUUCUCGACUGGCCACUGAACCAACAGAGGAAUGCGACAACCAAAUUCCGUCCUGCAAAGGUGCAUUAAACCACGGUAUUAGUUCAGUUUCACUAAAAGUAUCGCAGCAAACGGGGCAGCGGGAAUUGAUCAUCAGCCACUCAUAAAUGCAACUUCCAUGAAAACCAUGCACGCAAGGUAAUCGAAUACCAUCAUCAUGUCCAAUCUCAUAAUCUUCCAAACAAAUAGCACAUGUCCCACAUCUCGUAGCUUCAAAAUAACCCUGCAUACACGGUUUAGUCGCUUCAUCAUCAUUAAGAUGAAGCAAAAUUUCAACUGUCUCACAUUUACGCACAUCAAUAAAACCCUCGGUUUCUGAUCCAAUGGAACUCUGAACAAGCUCAACUAGUGUUGCGACAAGUUUAGGCACUAGGAGUGGUUUGUCUUUUGAAGGAAAAUGGGUGUUGAUGAAGUCUAUCAUCAUACGCCCUGAAGGAGAUUGCAGAAUACUAAUAGCAUCCUGGUUAUUGAACUCGGAGGGACGGACCAUGAUGGCUUUUGUUGGGGAGUGGGGGAUCAUCCAAUACUCUUGAACAGCUCCAUCUGGUGCAAAAGUGUACAUAGUGUCCUUGUAGAACAUAAAUCGGAUCAUGAUCGCAUCAUCACCAGGUGGAAUCAUCUCGUGUCCUGAGAUUUCAUCAGUGCCGCUGCACGGUGCCCAAUCCGCAGCAAAUGUGCGGUAUCGGGAGAUGGUGAUUGGUGUCGGUACCACAGACAUAAUUUCAGAAUGUAGUGAAUGGCAAGAACGUUGUAAUCAGCUAAUAAGUAGCAACUAAUGUUUUGUUGAACCUGUCUGCAGGCCAAAAUCAAAUAGCAAGAGGAGUUGUUUUGAGGUGAAGAAGCUGCUGCAACGAAGCAAAUUAUAUGAGGCAAGCUAACAAGUAUAAAGUCAAUUGAAUAGCAGGGACAAUUAUAUAUACUGAAGCAACUAGCACUCCUAAUCGGACACGGAUUCUCAAUUUCUGCUAAGAAAGGAAUCUCUAACCAAGUUUAAUUUCGGCUUAGACACGAAUUUCAGUUUGCUAUGGAUUUCCUAAUGCUCUUGGGAAAAAUUUUAUCAAAUCAGUUUAUACACCAAUCAGAUCAAUUGCGAUCCUACGGAUUUUCUACUGCUCUUUGGACUAGAUCGAGGUCAAUGUCCAUCCAAAACAACAGUCAAAAGCUUGUCAGUCAAUUUGGCUGCAAGUACUAGAUUUGUUUGAGUAUUGUAUAGAAAGAAAAGAUAACGCAUUACAAAAAUCCUUGAAAUGAAAAAACAAUAUUAAAAAAUAUAUACUAAAUACAAGGUAACACAACUGAACAACAGUGCAAGUAAGAUUAUGACAAAAACCAAAGGAUUGAUAACACCUUUAGUCCAAUAGAAACAACCACCCUGUGUUUGGCCACAAUCCUUAGCAAGGAGAGAGAGACAGUAGCAGUCAAUGCUUUUAGGGAUGCGGGGUGUGCCACCGCGAGGACUCGGAAUGUAGUAGGGUUGUUAUCGUAGUGUGUUGACCUGUAAAGCAGGGUUCCGGUGCCACCUCGCGGACGAGGAUUUAUAGUAGCUUCUUCACCACCAAUAUCGAUACUCAAUGGCUCUUAUAAUAUCAUUUGGACUGUUUUUGCUUUAGUGGUUUCUCACGUCUGUAGCUUAGAAGCAAUGCUACUGUAGGAAAUGUAAAUGUUUGAUACAGUUUUGUGUUGAUGGUUGGAUUAUAAUUUUGGUAUUAUCUGGAAUCUAAUGAUCAUGCAUAUCACUGCUAACGUUUAGGCCUGCUGCUAAUUGGUAGUCUACCAAUUAGAAGGAAGGAACUUUUUAACCCGGCCUAGAAUGCAUUCUAAUUGGAAGUCUAAAACGGGUCUCUGUUAGUAAUCCAAAGCUCCGAACUUUUUAACCCGGCCCACUAAGCCAAACCACUUCGUCUUCUACCUCCCCUCUCCAAAAUCCCCCAAAAUCUCAUCAAUGGAGUCCAGCAGAGCCAUGGAGUCGGAUCCACCGUCGAUCAACUUCGGCACGCAAGAGGCCCUCCACCACGUCCGCAGCCUCACCGACGUCGGCGCCAUGACGCGCCUCCUCCACGAGUGCAUAGCCUACCAACGCGCCUUGGAUCUCAACCUCGACAGCCUCCUCUCCCAGCGCUCCGACCUCGACAAGCACCUCUCCAGCCUCCAGAACUCCUCCCAGGUCCUCGAGAUCGUCAAGUCCGACGCCGAUCACGUCCUCUCCAACGUCUCCUCCACCUGCGACCUCGCCGACCACGUCAGCGCCAAGGUCCGCGAGCUCGACCUCGCACAGUCGCGCGUCAACUCCACGCUCCUCCGCCUCGACGCAAUCGUCGAGCGCACCAACUGCAUCGACGGCGUCAAGCAGGCUCUCGACGCGCAGGACUACGAGUCCGCCGCCAAAUUCGUCCAGAGGUUUAUACAGAUUGAGUCGGAGUAUCGGGAUUCGGGAUCGGAGCAGAGGGACCAGCUCAUGGAGUCGAAGAAGCUUCUGGAAUCGAUUGUGAAGAAGAAGCUCAACGCCGCCGUGGACCAGAGAGACCAUAUGAAUGUGUUGAGGUUCAUUAGGCUGUACACGCCGUUAGGGAUAGAGGAGGAGGGUUUGCAGGCUUAUGUGAGCUACUUGAGGAAGGUGAUUGGGAUGAGAUCGAGGCUGGAAUUCGAGCAUUUGAUGGAGUUGAUGGAGCAGAAGAGCAAUCAGAGCCAGCAGGUCAACUUCGUGGGGUGUUUGACCAAUUUGUUUAAGGACAUUGUGCUGGCGAUUGAAGAGAAUGACGAUAUUUUGAGGGGGCUUUGCGGCGAAGAUGGGAUUGUUUAUGCGAUUUGCGAGCUUCAGGAGGAGUGUGAUUCGAGGGGGAGUAUGGUUUUGAAGAAGUAUAUGGAGUAUAGGAGGUUGCCUAAGCUGUCGUCGGAGAUCAAUGCGCAGAAUAUGAGUUUGCUUGAUGUUGGUGUUGCUGGUGUUGGGAAUGAGGGGCCGGAUCCGAGAGAGGUGGAGCUUAUCUUGGAGGAGAUACUGUCUUUGAUGCAGUUGGGGGAGGAUUAUACGGAGUUCAUGGUGUCAAAGAUCAAGGGAUUAAGUAAUGUUGAUCCGGAUUUGGCCCCGAGAGCAACCAAGUCGUUUAGGAGUGGAAGUUUUAGCAAAGUGGUUCAGGACAUUACUGGGUUUUAUGUCAUAUUAGAGGGUUUCUUUAUGGUUGAGAAUGUGAGGAAGGCUAUAAGGAUUGAUGAGCAUGUGUCUGACAGUCUUACGACGUCUAUGGUGGAUGAUGUUUUCUAUGUCCUGCAGAGUUGCUUGCGAAGGGCGAUAUCCACUUUGAAUAUCAGCUCAGUGAUUGCUGUGUUGAGUGGUGCAAGUAGUUUGUUGAGUAAUGAGUACCAUGAGGCUUUGCAACAGAAGAUGAGAGAGCCCAAUCUUGGUGCAAAGCUGUUCUUGGGUGGUGUUGGUGUUCAAAAGACUGGUACGGAGAUUGCCACCGUUUUGAAUAAUAUGGAUGUGAGUAGUGAGUAUGUGCUUAAACUGAAACACGAGAUUGAGGAGCAGUGUUUGGAGGUAAUUAAAAAUUUGAAAUGCUUCUGUUUUGUAGUUCCUAUGUGCUUACCUUACCUGCUACAUGAAAUUUUGAAUGACUGUAACAAGCAAUUAUUUGGCUCACAUUAUACCUUGCUUUGGAUUAGGUUUGAAUCCCCAAAUGCAUAUUUAGAUUCAUACGAUCCUUCGUUUGUUGUAUGUUUAAAUUGUAGUUUAGGAAGAUAUGUGAUUCUUGGUUUUGUAUUAAUGAUCUUGCUUGUUAGUGCCACAUUGCUCGCCUCUGCUUUUACUUGCCUUGUAAAAUAUCAUUUUGGAUGCUGCAGUUUGAGGCUUUUUAUAUGAUCAGGCUUUAUACGUAGAUGUUUGUUAUCUUAAUAAACCAGGAAAAGUAUCACAAGUUGAUUUAUGCAUUAGUGAUACAUGCAUUUCUGCUCUUACUGAGUGCAUGAUCUGUUCGUAUAGCUGUUCCAUAUGUCUUGAUCCUUUAAAAACUCAAUGCUGUUGCCAAUUUUUUCUCUAAUUUUACUGAAACUCUUGCUCAUAGUGAUAGAGGUAAAAAGUCAAGAUAGCUUUGAGACUCAGUUAGACAGUUGUUUAACCUUUCCGUGAGCCCUUCUGUUAGGCAAGUAUCAAGAGCCAUAGGCUGUCCAUACUUAUCAAAAUGGUUUUGAGAACAUGUAGGUUUUGUUUUGGUAUGUGUACCAGGCUUGUCACUGUGUUGGCUGUAGAUGAACUUGUAUGCAUUUUUGUACCGUCCUUCAGUAUAGCAAUAUAUGAGCUAUAUGAUCUCUUAAUCUAGGAUUAUAAGUAAUGUGUUGACUUGUUUAGUUGGGUACAAUUUUUGUUUCCAUUAUCAAAAUUCUUCCAUAUUAAACUGAAUUUAUUUAUACAGGUAUUUCCUGCGCCAGCUGAUAGAGAAAAAGUCAAGUCUUGUUUGUCUGAGCUAGGGGAUAUGAGCAACACAUUCAAGCAAGCUUUGAAUUCUGGCUUGGAGCAACUUGUGGCAACUGUGACACCACGUAUCCGUCCAGUGCUUGAUAAUGUUGCAACCAUCAGCUAUGAGCUAUCAGAGGCCGAGUAUGCAGAAAAUGAGGUUAAUGACCCAUGGGUUCAAAGGCUUCUUCAUGCUGUUGAGACAAAUGCAGCAUGGCUGCAGUCACUAAUGACCACCAACAACUACGAUUCAUUCAUACAUCUGAUAAUUGAAUUCCUUGUUAAGAGGCUUGAAGUAAUUAUGAUGCAGAAGAGAUUCAGUCAACUUGGAGGCCUUCAGCUGGACAGAGAUUGUAGGGCAUUGGUGAGCCACUUUUCUAGCAUGACGCAAAGAACUGUUAGAGACAAGUUUGCUCGCCUCACUCAAAUGGCAACUAUUCUCAACUUAGAAAAGGUCUCUGAGAUUCUGGAUUUCUGGGGUGAGAAUUCAGGCCCUAUGACCUGGAGACUGACACCAGCCGAGGUCAGGCGAGUUUUGGGUCUAAGAGUUGAUUUUAAAUCCGAAGCUAUUGCCGCCCUCAAGUUGUAAUUCCUGCUGAACCAACACUUCAUAUAUUUUUUUUUUUUUCUUUUUUACUCUUCAAAAAGAUUCAUAUCUUCAUUCUUUUUGUUACCAUUUCCUACAGUUUUGUUCACCAUAUUUGUCUGUAAUUCUAUCUUUCAUUCAGAUUUGUGUAAUACUUCAGCAUGGACAUCUACUAGUUAUCUCAGAACCUCUAAAAGUGAUCAUCUACUACAAUGUUUGACGCUGAUCGGGUGUCACUAACAUUACACAUAGCCAAUCUCUGAACGCCCCGAGUUUCACCAAUUGAUUGCCACUGGAUAAGGCGGUAGAAGAAGUUCUCGAUGCAUUAGUAUCUUUGGUGCAUAGAAAGCUAGAAUCACGAAUUUUUCAUUUCGAUUGCGUCUGGGUCUGGCGAGAGAGUGCAUCACCCAAUGAAAACGACCAUUCAGGAAGACUCCAUUUUCGUUUGGAUGCAAGUCUGAACUUACAGGUUGGUAGGGUUGAGGGGAUGACGAUGUAUGUUUCCAUGAAUCUGUUCCGAAGUCAUAGACGCAAAACCAAGUUCCCUGCCACACGUAGUUAUAACGGUCACUAGAAACAAAGAUCUCUCCCCGAACCAACUGGUAUUCUGAAGUGUAGGAAUCAAAACCAAACCCAUAUAGGCGAUAAUUAUAAUUGUGAUAAUUCCCUAGUCGUGGUUUUGCCACAAUAUGGCAGGAAUGGAAAAACGAACCCUAACACUUGGCUGCUCACGGUAAAUAUAACCGAGCUCAGUCGCAGCAGCAGCUACUUGUCCAUCAUCAUCGUUAGUCGACGUCGGAGAAGUCCAAAAAGUUUCUUCAACCCGGGGAUCCCUGUCCAGCCUCUUAAGGGAGAGGAGACGUCAUCGUUACUAGUACCAUUAUAUGUAUCAACAACAACAUCAUUAGGGUUGAGUUUUGAGGAACUCGUCCAGGUUCCUUGUUUUGCUUGGAAUCUAUGUUGUGCAAAACAAGAAAAUCCCAAUUGAGCAAGAAUUUAGAAACCUUGUCACUGUAGGACGUGGAUAGUGGAUUACACCAUUCAUCUUUCCAAUAGCCUAAAAUUGAUAGUUUAGUUUCUUUACUUUCUUACUGUGCCAAUUAAGCACAUCACUUCAGUUUUUUGAUCUAUUGUGAAUUGUACAAUGCGUUUAUAUUGACACAAACCCCAUAUAACGUACGAGGAUCGACCAUUUUCCAAACUCAAGUGCACAAUAUGUCCAAGCAAAAUUUUGUAAAUAAUGUGUGAAUAUAAAGUUAUGAUAAAAUUGGACAUAGCACGGUGAACCAACAUCCCUUCAGGGUACAGUUGCAAUUACAGAAAGAGCGAUAAUUUAGAACGAACACGAACGACCAAAAUUCAAAUGAAAGACCCACCCUAAAUACAAGUAUCCUGCUUCCAGUAGAAAUGCAAAUACAAUCUUCUUUUUUAAGUGACGAGAACUGCUAGCAGUAACUAAAAUUUAGUAGCAUGCAUCUAGGAACAGAGAAAUAGCACAAGUUGAUUGCUAUAGGUAAACAAAAGAUUAGACUUUGGCAGUACCCUGAGUGAAUUUAGGGUCCUCACAUCUGUAGCGGCCAUCAGGCCCUAUUCCAAAGCCUUUAGGAUCGGCAAACACAUUCUCCAGCAGCUGGCUGCGAGGUGGGAGAGGGCUCUCGUCGGCAAACUCAACAGCAUCAUCAAGCACCUCAUCUAUCUUCUUAUCUAUGGCCUUCAACUCUUCUUCACUGGCUAAGUUGUGCUCAAAUAUGUAUUUCUUCAAGGCUGUGAUGGGGUCUCUGGCAGCAUAGUGUGCCUUCUCAGCUGGCAAAGUAGAACAAAAAAUGGUGGUAAAUAUAUAACAACCUCAAAUGGUGUGAAAUAAAUGAAUCAAUCAUGCCAAGUGCAAACGUCUUGUAAAUAGUCAUGAUAAUAUGAUAUGUGGUGAUCAUAGUUGAAGUGGACGAAUGAACAGACACAUCACUAAGGUUUGGGCAAAAUGGUCACGUCAUGGGCAAAACAUACACAAGAAAUAAUUUUAUUAGCUGAUUGAGGUGCUAAGAAAUCAGAAACUCCAUAACGCAGCACAAGAAAUGAUUUUAUUAGCUGAUUGAGGUGCUAAGAAAUCAGAAAUUCCAUAACGCAGCUUAACAUGGUUUUUCAAACUAAAAAAGAAGCAGAUAUCUGAUAUCCAAACAGGUAAAGUAUAUAAUGAACGGGAUUAAAACAUAAUGUAACUGAAAAUACUAACAGGCAAUGAUGUUAUAAGAAAACCCAAAUGAUUGACAGGAAUGGAUUAAGUUAGCUCUCAUAAUGUACAAAAGAGAAGCGUUAUGAGGAAAGAAAUAAUUCAAAUACUCACCAGGGUCACGGAGCUCAUCAGGAUCAGCCAAUGAGUGUCCUCUGAACCUGUAUGUUUCACAUUCCACCAAGGUUGGUCCUUCUCCUCUCCUGGCCCUUGCAAUUGCCUCCUUCGCGACUUCCCUCACCUUCAAAACAUCCAUCCCAUCCACAUGAACUCCAGGCAUGCCAAAUGCAGGUCCCUUCUUCCAAAUUUCGGGAUCAGAAGUUGCCCUCAGAUGCGACAUUCCAAUAGCCCACAAAUUGUUUUCCACAACAAAUAUAAUUGGUAAUUUCCACAAUGCUGCCAUGUUCAAACAUUCAAAGAACUGGCCAUUGUUAGCAGUCCCAUCUCCAAAAAAUGCCAAUGUCACGUGAUCACAGUCUGCCUGUUUCAACACCUCCCUCCUAUAUUUAGAGCUGAAGGCUGCCCCUGUUGCCACUGGAAUCCCCUCACCAAUAAACGCAAACCCACCAAGCACAUUGUGAGCCUUCGAGAACAUGUGCAUCGAACCACCUUGGCCCCGGCAACAACCGGUGGCCUUCCCGAAAAGCUCACUCAUGACUUCACGAGCAGGGACACCCUUACUCAAAGAGUGAACAUGAUCACGGUAUGUGCUCACCACGGUAUCUUCCUGCUUUGUAAGCUUAAUAAACCCAGUUGACACAGCUUCUUGGCCAUUGUAAAGGUGAACAAACCCAAACAUUUUGCCUCUGUAAUACAUCUGAGCACACAUGUCCUCAAAAGCUCUACCCAAUACCAUGUCUUCAUAAAGCUCCAAGCCUUCCUCUUUUGUUAUCAGCUAAAUACACCAAAAUUCAAAAACCAUAGUUUCAGAUACUGUUCAUUUCAUCAGAAAACAUGACAUCAUCUAAAAUACACACCAAGAAAAAAAGAACUCAGAUGGAUACUUCUACAUCCCUUUGAACUUCAUUAGAUGUGAUAACAAAGUUUCUUUUACUUUAAACCACACUGAGAAUCCAAUUGAUCUAAACAAACCAAGUUGUAUACUUGUAUUUGCUAUUAGACAAAGAACUUAAUUAAACGAAUGCAAUGAAGUUUGGUACCUAUAAACAUUACACUCGAAUCAAAUCAAACUGAACUAAAUGCACCUCAAGUAGAAAUUUUGGAUCAAACAAUUUGAUUGAGCUAAAUGCAUGCUAUGAAGUUUGCCGGACUUUAAACAUUACACUCAAAACAAAUCAAACCCAAGUUGGAAUUUUGAUUAGAAAUUCGGAUCAAACAUCUUGAUUGAGCUCAAUUAACACCUCUUAAAUCUCAGCUACCCAGUACUUCAAAUCACACAAACAUCUCAACACAAAAAAACCAAGUUCCUAAAACCCAAUUCUCUCCUAUUCCAACCAUGCAUGGCAAACCAAACCUUCACAAAUGAAUGAAAGAAACAAACUUUCAGGGCAAAAGAGUAAUUACCAGAUUGGUGGAAGCAGUGGCAUUCUUCUUCUUCUCCUUGACAGCCUCGGAGACCGAAACGACGGCGGAUCGGCGCUGCGCAUUGGGCUUGGCAGCAGCGACACACCCGGGUCGGAGCUUGCGGGUGGAUCCCAGAAAAGAUGGAGUCUUUGACAUGAGGAGAGAAGAGGGUGCCUUGCUGUCAUUGGAUCUGGCGGCGGCGACUGCGGUGGUGUUGAGGUGGAGGGGUUGGGUGGUGGCGGUAGAGAAGGACAUGGCUUCCUCUCUCUUUAUGUGUGUUUUGGGUUUGAAGAGGUGAAGAAGGAGAGGAAGAAGAGAAGAGUAUAAGAGGAGAAGAGAAGGCGGAGGAAACGAGGGAGAGGAGCUUGGAAAGGACCGCCUCAAGCGUUGGAAAUCCACCCAACUCAACUAACUCACUGCUUCUGCUACUUGGCACUUGUUUGGCUUCUAAUGCUAUUUUGGGGUGUCAUUCUUUCAUUUAGGCCUUGUAAAAUCCGAGGAGGCUCAUUGUGUGACAUUAUUGUGCUUUGGACAGUUGGGGGGAUUUGGAGGAGAAGGGUGUGUUUUUUCUAGGGUGUUGAAAAUGGUGAUGUUACAAGUGUUUUUUUGGGUGAUGAAGGAUGUGAGGCAAACGAUGAUUGGAGAAAAUUAUGUGGGAAGGGGAUUUUGGGUUGUGAGAUUUGUGUGUUACAUGUUAGUGAACUUGUGAUUGUGACCUUGUGGAUGACAAUGAAUGAGUUCCAACGUGUCAUUGGAUGAGGACUAAGAAAAGUCUAACCAAGUUUCUUUUUAUCACAUGGGGAUGAUCAAUUAGCUAGUUAAUGUUCUUAAAAAUUGUUAGGAGCUAAGAGAAUGGUGGAAUGAGAAUUAAGGCAUUCUAUUUAUCGUUAGGUGACAAUCGAUUUGAUUAGUCUUAACGGCGUGUAAGAUACGCUUAUUUAAAAAUUGUUCAACCAAGAACACUAAUUAACUUCAAACUACAUAAGUGACUUAUUUUACGUAAAGUGGAGAGCAUUGGUUUCGAAUUUUAUGAUCAAAAGAGACAAACUUGCUGAAUAAUGAAAACAUGUGGUUUUUUAUUUGUUUCAAAAGCAUGUUGUGGUUUGAGCGGGUUAUUACCGUGAGUGGAGAGCACCGGCAUGUAAACCAUUACAAGACGAGUGAUCCUAAACCAAAUGCUUCAACUAUAGAAAAACAGUAAUUGAAAAAAUUUAGCGUAAUGCAAGUAAAUAAAUAAUAGAUGGAAACAGAUAUCAAUGAGGGUCCAUAGCUCAGUGGUAGAGCAUUUGACUGCAGAUCAAGAGGUCACCGGUUCGAACCCGGUUGGGUCCCUUUUUUCUUUUUUUUUAAUUCUUUUACUUAUCUUUAGUUUUUUUUUUUACUUUUUACCACUUUUAAUUUUCACUUAAUUUUUUAACUUUUUAUUUUGCAAAUUCAGUUGUAUAUCUUCUCGUUAAAACUGAAACCUUUAGGCACCUCUCUCUGUGUCACCGUUCCCGUCUCUCAGGCAAAUCGCAGCUGAUGAAACUCAUGAAAGCUUCAUACUUUCCACUCCUUCGAUGAAACAGAACAAAACCCAGGUGAGUUUAUCUAAUUCCUUUCUGAUUCUACAUUGCUGGUUUUUGCUCCGAUGUUUCUUUGAACUUCAAUUUCCUUUCGAUAUUUGAUAGAAAGAGCUCGAAUCUGGAUUGCUUUGAUUUCCUUUGAUUUUGGGUCUCCUAUUAGGAUGCUACUAAUCUUCAUCUUGGGUUUUAGGUUGAGGAAAAGUUAACCACAGGCGCCUCUUUAAUUUUUCCAGUUUUUUUGAGGAUUUUAGAUUGGCAUACUAGGCCAGGGCUUCAACAUUGUUGUUAAAGAUAGUAUCUCAGAUUGCUGAUUAAUUGUUUCCAAUGAAGUUUAGAUUUUUAGUGUUGUGUGGCCUAAACUGAUACUCUGAUAGCCAAAUGUAAUAUUGGUUGCAAGCUUUCAAAGUGUGUACAUCUUAUAAUUGGUUUUGAACACAUUGUUCUUUUUAGUUUUUUGCAUUCUUUAGAUGGAGGUUAAGAAUAUGAAUUUCUUGGAUUUUUACAGCUUAUGAAGAGCUGCACAUAAGGAAAAGGAGAUUCCUUUAAGCAAAUCGACUUUGAAUUCUUCAAUUUUGUAGCUCACUGGUUUUACCUGGCUUUUACUUUCUUGGCUGGUGAGACUCCUUUCUCUUUUAGUAAGACCUAGUUCUUCCAUUUAUCAGAUCAUGAAAUGGCUGUGAUGUUAAUGUUUUUGAUUUCUUGUUCUGUAGAGUAUUUGGAAGAAACAAGUGAAAUUCCAAAAUGCUUCAACAACAGAUUGUACAAUCCCCAGCUAGGCUAGGCCUAUCGAACCCCAACUCACCUGCUCUUCAAAACCCUACCCCUCCAAAACUCCCUUUCCAGCAGCAGCCUUCUUCUGCUUCUUCUUCCCAGCUUCCCAAUCUCUCCCCGUCGCUGGUCUCUCUCCUCUCGCCUCUCCCAAGAGCUCAAUCCCUUCUAGUUCAAAUGGCCUCCCUUGCAUCUAAACUCUUUGAAGUUUCACCUAAUCGGUCCCUUUGGCUCAAUGCAUUCCGCGGUUCCCUCCCAACCUUCCUUUCCUCCCAAACCCAAUCUCAGUCCUCUAUGCCACUUGAGAACUGUCCUUCCUCAACCAAAGAUGUCCUCUCCCAGUUCACAGCUCUUCAAACCCAACUCUUUGAGACUGUUGCUGAACUCCAAGAAAUUCUUGAUCUUCAGGAGGCUAAGCUGAAAAUUGCACGCGAAGUCCAGUCCAAGGAUGCCUCACUUCUUGCCUUCUCCAAGAAACUCAAGGAUAUCGAGCAGGUGCUUGAUAAUCUUGUUGAUGAUUACUCAGAUUUGUCCUGCCCCAAAAGAGUAAAACUGGAUGACGGAUCAGAAGAUGAUUCGUCAUGCACUACUACAGUUUCAUCUCAGUUGAAUUUAUCAGAUAUUUUGUCAUAUGCGCAUCGGAUAAGCUACACAACAUUUGCACCACCAGAGUUUGGGGCUGGACAAGCUCCUCUUCGCGGAUCACUCCCACCUGCCCCGCAGGAGGAGCACAUGCGCGCUUCUCAGCUAUACAAUUUUGCAAACCUGGAUGUUGGUUUGCCCAAGACUUUAGACAGCACGGAGAAAACAAUUGAAGCAAUCAUGGAGUCCCCACCUCUUGCUCCAACAGAAGCCAAUCAAGCUCCAGACCUUGGUGCACUUUUUCCAAAUAUUGCAAUUCCAUCUGGUUGGAAACCUGGGAUGCCUGUGGAAUUGCCUGCUAUGCCUGUGAAGUUGCCUGCUAUGCCCCCUGGAUGGAAGCCUGGGGACCCAGUGCCUUUGCCGCCAGUGGGAUCUCUUCCAGUUCCUAAGACCGUGGAGCAACAAUCAUUUAGACCUCAAGCAAUGCAUAAGGCACAAGAGCCAAUACAAGUUCGGCAUGUUAUACUAGAUAUUCCUGAAGUCGAUGAUAGCGAUUAUAGUAGUAGUGAUGAAGGAAGCUCUGAAGAUGAUGAUUAGCAGAUUGUCCUUUGGUUCGGGAUGCGUAUGUACUGAUGUUUUAGUAUCCAUUUACAUUUCCCUUGAAUCCAAAUUUUGGUUGAAUGACUAAUAUUGAAUACCGAUAGGUGCACUUGGUCUUUCCCAUCUCCAACUUUAUUUGGAGUUUAAUCAAGAGAUGAGAAGCAAUUAUCAUUGUUGGCAAUAUUUGAUUUGAAUUUUGGAUAAGAAAUACAUUACUCGGUUCAGUUGGACUUGUUGAGCAUUCAUCUUCAUGAAAUAGUAGACAUAAGACAGAAGGCUCUAAUCGGAAUUCGGAAGUCCGAAGUUGCCUGACCUUUUACCUUAGCAAAAAACUUUUCUGAAGGAUACACGGUAUCCGAAACUACCAUGUUCCGCAGCGACGUUGCAAUUUAGGACAUAGGAGACUCUACCUUCUGAGAAUUAUAUGCAGAUAAUCACCAAGAAUCCAUAUAAAGUCGCUAGAAACUGGGAGGAAUAUAUUUUACUUUUGCUACAAAAUGGCAGAUGCCCUUCUAUAAAUCAUUUACAAAAUUUGUGGUACUAUACAAAUUAAUUACAACAGAUCUAAAUAGAAACACAGAAGGAUUAAAAAGAAUUACAGGAUAUGGAGGGAAAACGGGUUAAUACUCAGCUAGUAUGGUUAGUGCCUAAUAGAUACAGCCUCGGCAGAAUCCAACUCCCAGUGUUGUUACUUGUUACUUGUAGAAGGCAAUAGUGUCAUCGCCUGCUGAUCUUGUCCUUGCCUGGAAAGUGGAUAUCUAGACGUUAGAAAUUGACACCUUUCAUAGACUCCCAAAUUCCAUAACAUUUACAGAAGACGUUAUGAGAUACUUACCAUUGCCAAAUAAAUUUGUUUUCAAAGGAAACCGAAUAGAUGAUCCUUUUACUUUUACCUCCCUGAGUUGCUUGAUUUUACUUUGUUUCCCUGUUCUCGCAAGAUUACUACUGCUCUCUCCUGGUGACAGAACAGGUCCGUGCUUAACCUUUUCAUGGUACACGGCUGGUGGGGCAAGCCUCAAUUGAGGCAUAUUUUCAAUCUCGACUAAUCCACUAUGUUUCUGCAAAUUGGUCAACAUCUCAAACUGCAAUAUCCAAGUUCAAUUUCUCAGUUAGAUUCACGUACCAAAAAUCAAGGAAAUCAAAAUGUCAAUAAUGAAGAUGAUAAUAAGUUGCCAUACUCGUGAAAUUUGCUGAAUCCCAUAGCUAUUCUCAGAUGCAUUGCUUUCAUGUAGGUGAACUGUUGUUCCAUGAGUAUUUUUGGUUCUUGAUGAAAAUUUGUUCACUAAACUCUCCUCUGCAAGAGCUGAUUUGUUUUUAGCCCUCUGAGAUUUCGUCUUGGGCAUACAAACAGGGCAUCCAGAGGACGAGCUACGACUUGGUGUUUCAUUCUCUGAAACUUCGCAUUUAAGAUGUGUCGCAUGACCACAAGUAAAAAUGCGAAUGUAACUGGAAGAGUUCUUGUCAAGAAGGCAAUCGCAUAUGCAACAUUUUUGGUUGCGGGGGGCAUACCCAUGUGAAGCUCCUUUCUUAAGGAUGCUCAUAGUAUAGAAUGUAUCAUCUUCUAUCAGGGACUUGGCAGUAUCCUACAUGACAGAUUAGACAAGUUAGAGGCAACAGAAAAGAACACAAAGGAGUACUACACAAAGCUUCGGAGGAAACAAAUUAGAUAUCUAGUGUCUAGAACUGGAAUCCAGUUAGUGCAGGAAGUUUAACAUAUUGUUGAAUCAGUAGUGUGCGUAAGAUUGGAGUGCUGCUUAGUAACGCUGUACUGCUUCUAUCUAUCCAGCAGAUAUAUUAAAUGCAAAUGAGAAUUGUAGCUUAAGCCACCAACUUAUGCUGUUGUAGAUAUUCACUAGGUAAAUAGACAUUUAAAUCUCCGGAAUGACAUUAAAGAUUUUUUUAAUUUUUUUAUUUUUAAAAUAUCAUAGAAAUUUAUUCAUGCUCAUUGCCUAAAAGAACACUUCACAGAAUGACUUUGAAACAAUGAUUCCCUAAAACCAGAAAUCAUUGUGUACAUAACUAGCAUAACUGAGAUUAAAGUAAAAAGAUGCUGUACCAGAAUUCUUCUUUCGAAGCCAUACGUACUCAGCAUCCCCAAUAUUGUGAAUUUAAAAUCACCGAAUUCCUGGCUACCAUUGUCAGAAAGCAGCUUUGACAUGAUAGUUGGAAGGCGAACAUAUCCCAUCAUGCCCUCAACAAUCUCCUUGAUGAACCGAGAAAACAAUUUUCUUAAGACAUCAGCACCUUUAUGGGGCUUUGGGAUUCUCCACUUGAUUAUGAAAUUCAAAUCAUCCUCUUGUGAAUCCAAUGAAUUGGUUACCAUUCUAUUAAGAUCUUGUCCUUUAGAGACUGUACCCGCACUAAACGAAUCCAUUAAAGGCUCACAAAACCUGUAUUGGGAUUGGAAGAUGAUUAGUCAUCAAUAAUUCCAUGAUCAUGGAUGCAUGACUCAAUGAAUUCUCUCAUGUAUCAUCCUGGACAGAUCAUAAGGAGCACGAGAUCCCGUUUUUAAGUUAUGCAAGUCUUUUUUAUGGUCAAUACAAUCAAACAAGAAACGCUGAUAUCGAAAAAGGUAUUAUGUGCAGCUAAUUGUGCAUGAGUAAAGCUUAACUGAGACCGAACUAGAAAAUUGAACUUACGAGUCAAGCAAUCUAAACCAAAGUGCCUCUGAUUCAUCAGGAUUCAAACGAUGGGUGUUCCGUUGGCACAAUCCAAUACAGGCAUGCAAUAUACUAUCAAUGUCAUUCACCUGAAAAAAAAAAAAAACAAAAAAAACAAAAGAAAAAAUAUUACAAUUGAUACAUAACUGUCCAACAAAUCUAUAAAAGCAAAAAACAGCCCAACGACAUGCUAGAUUCAAACUGAUAUUUACCGACCUCCUGUAGUUUUAAAGCUUUGUUCAAGUACUCUGUACUAGCAGAACCACGUGAAGCCCCAGUUGAUGGUAGACUUCCAACAGCGGUUUCAAGUUUCAUGAAUUUUUCAUUGAGGGAGGAUAGUGUAAGUAAAAGUGCACUCCCAACAUCACCAACCCUUUCCAACAAGAACGAUGAGGCAUCUACUAUUGCAUAUUUCUGGCAGAGGCGUAAACAGUGCUCCACACGAUAGCUAUCAAAAGUCUCUAGAAAUUUGAGAACUGAUUUGCGUUCAAACUGACAUAACAGCUGCAAAAGUAAUAAGUGAAACAUGAGAACCUAAGGUGGUAUCACAAAUUCACAAUGAGUGCUCCACAAGUAAUUUCUGAACCCAAGCAACUAAGUGGUAACACAUAAAGUGCCGCGUUGACACCAGAUAAGCUUUAUGACCAGAAAACAAACUCACUCACCGACUCUUCCAAGCCUCAGAGUUCAAAUUUGGCCAAAAUGAAUAUAUUGAAAAUAGGUAAACUUUUACUAACCCAAAUAGACUGGAGCACAAUGGACACACUUAAACUUAACAAUAUCUCAAGCAAGGUCAAGUAUUCCAGAGACAAUGUGAUGCAGCUGAAAACACUAAUUCGUCGAAUAAACUUAGCUAAAACAAACGAUCCCAAGUUCACAAAACGCUCACCUCCAGAUAAAGCUCAAUCAUAUCAUCAGUCACAUUAAUAGGACUAUCACGCAAAAGCUGUGGGAAAUUAGAGAUCCUUUCCAAGAAAGCCUCAACUGCUUUUGUUUGUUCCUUCACUCCCAUGAGAUUAUUAUUUCUUAAACUUGAAAAGUCGAGAGUGCCAGAUAAAUGAACCUCUAUCACUGUUUUUAAGUAAAGGAAAAGGCUUUUAGGAUGGGAGCGAAGUUUAGAUAGUAUAUGAGAACCUUCUUCACUGGUAAAAUGAUCCAUAACCAAGAAGAAUGCACCCUCUCUGCAUAGGAUCGGAAGAUUUUAGAAACUGAAUAAUAAUUGAGGAAGACCUCCAGUUAACAUGUGAACAAUGAAAAAGGAACAAAACAUUCAUGAUAAUUAAGGAAUUACCUGUUUAAGUCAAAUAACUCUGGAAUUCGAGAAAUAACUGCUGAUCGAAAACCAGCACGUUCCUUAUCUGUCAACCGCAACAAUAUUUUGUUGAUAAAGGCAAAGGCAUGAAUCGGUUCAGCUGCAUCUUUCAUAUAGCAAUCCAGAGCAGCAAGAUGUUGAUGUCUGCUGGUAUGAAUUAGGCCACAUACCUAAAAGACAUCAAGAAACCAUGUAGUGAGUAACACUAAGUGAAUGGAAUCAACAUGUUUCUAAAACAACAUUGUAACAGCUGUCAUAAGAAACUUGAAGAUAUACCUGGUAAAACUGUGCUUUCUCACAUAGCUGUAACACAGAAGAUGAAUCCCAAUCAGUCUCUGGCACUACCUCAAGAAGGCCAAGAACCUGCUUCUCUCUUCUUUUUGAAAUCAUGUUAUCUCCAGAAACAGAUGAGGGGAAGUUAUUCUCUGAUGUCAAAUACUCCAAAAUCUGAGACAGUACAGCCUUCGAGACAUUAGCUUUUCCACAUGCAACAUAAAAUGCAAUAAACUCAAACAGAUGAUCAAUAUCUUUCUUUGAAGGCCAUGCUACGACUGAUCCGGGGUCAACACUGCUAGCAGAUCCAUCCUUCUGGGGAACGUCCUUACUAAUAAUGUGAAUAAGAGUAUCAAUUGUAUUCUGGACCAAUGAAUCCUGACUUUGAGCCAUUGAGUUAUUCCCAUACUGAAGCUCUAUAUCUGCAUCAGCUGAAUUUUGAGAAGAGAAGUCGGGUUUGGAGAUUUCAUUUUUUGAGAAAGCACAUCUCAGAACAUCUAAAGUAGCUUCAGUAUCUAGCUCUAAGAGAUAAUAAAGGUUGAGAUGUUCUCCUCCAGGGAAUUCGCUUGAGAGUGCUCUUGAAUUAGGGGCAUCAGAGCCCUCCAAUAAAAAGUGCAAAAGUUCUGUUCUGAGAGAUGGCAAGCGUAAAGGAGGAAUUUUUCCUUGUCCUGCAAAUAAAGAUGAUUGAUGCAAGGUUUCUUAAUCUGAACAAUGAAGCCAAAGCCUAGAAAACCAAACACAUUGUGCUUAAAAAAAAAAAAAAUUAAUAAAAUAAAAAAGGCCCUUUAUGGAUAGACAACUCUCUAUACUUAUUCUGCGACAUUUAUAUAUCAUUUUCUGUAAAUUACUUCAUGACCCUAGCAAUUUCUGCAUAGGUUAUCAUACAAAGGAAUAUCCCGAUAGUGUCCUGUGAUAUUGGAAAGCCCAACAAUAGGUGAAGUCCAUACCUGGUGGGAAAGCCAGGCCAGAGAAGCAGUACUUCAAAUAAACUAGCAUCCUGUAUCUGCGAACAAGAAAAUGUAAAAUAAGACCAUGGGGAAGUCAAGAAGCUAUAAACAGUGAAAAGAUAAACUGAAACAUAUGGUAUAACACAGUAUAUGUGUUUAGUUAAUCAAUGAGAAGAGAGAUCUGGUAAGAUGUUGCAACAAAAGGAGGGCAACUUAAGUAGUGCGCAAGAAAAUUUCAGCUUCAAGUGACUACAACAUGAGGGGAACAUGUCAAGGAGAUCGUACCCAAGGGCCAUAGCACCUUCUUUUUGACUAUUUCGCAAGACAACCAACAGCUCCUCUAAUGGUGACCUGAAAUCAUUCAAUCCUUUGUUGAAAAGAUACACCAGGGCACUAUAUAACCCAUGUUCCCGGCAUAACCUAACAACCUACAAAAAUGAAAAAUUAUUGUUAGAGGUGAAAAUUGAAAAGAGGAUUAGUGGACAAAAAUCACUAGCAAAAACAUGAAAGGUAGAGACCUGAUUGAAAUCCAAUGAAGAAAUAUCCAUGUGAAGGACACAUUGUUCAACACGCUGUAACCACCCUUUGAGGCUGUAAUGUUCCACCAGAGCUUGCAUAAUCUUAAAAAAGGGAAAAAGGAGAAAGAAUGUGAUUAUGUAAAUUGCAGAACAUGGCUUCCAAUACAGAAAAAUACACUAUGCAGUACCUCAGGCGGAAGAGAACCAAGCAUGUCUUUCAAUAUAUAAGGCUCCAAUAAUUCCAAAAAUGUGUCUGCAAAAAUUUAAGAAGAGAAAUAGAUUAGCAACAUGCAAUAGUGGACGGAAAGUAUAAUUUUGUACGCAGCAUACUCUUAGCAAUGGAACAAAGCACAUACUUCUAUAUGCUGCAAAUUUAUAGCACUGCAGCUCACACAAGCCGAAAGCAAUACACAACUCCUAAAACCUAAUUUCUUUGUUCUAUAAGUAUAAUCCAGUUACCAUCAAAUCAGGAAAGGAAGUUGAAAUGCAGGUCUCCAAAGACUUCAAAAAAGUUAUUCUUAUAGAUGAAAAGUUACAACCCACAAUGCAUUUCAGCCUUUAGCAUGACCCUUAUCAUGAGUUGUAGUAGGGUAUAAAAAUUGGCACUUUUAUUUAUGUAUUGUCGAUGCUACACAGGUACACUUCUUAAAAUUCCAUUCAGAUUCAAUCCUAGUUCGUAGCAAUAUAGAGUUUACCUCUUCAUAGGAUAUGAAAUUAGAAUGAUUGCCAUAAUUUUCACUUACGUAAUCUAUUUUAACCAGAGACCCCAAUAACUCAGAAAAGAAAAGAAAACAAUGCAUGAAGUUCGACCAUAUCAUCAAAUACAAAGACCCACUGGGUUGAUAAUACCUCUCUGUUGAACAGCUACAAAUUUCAAGAAGAUUUCAUCAAAGAGUAUGUCAGUCCUCUUGAUAUGGACACAGAAUUCAACUGCGACCCCACCAACACGGGUGUAUUGCUCUUUUAUUUCGGUGUGCACAGAACUACUUUGUCUGUUCAAGUCAUCAACCUGAUCCAUUUUUCCAAUUUGGUUGCAGAAUGCUACUGAUAUAUAAGAAAAAACUUCCUCUACAUAUGACAAAAGCAAUUCAACCAGGUAAGGCAUUAUGGCCUCCUGCACAGCAUCCAGAGUCCUAGGAAGGUCAACGACACCAUGAGCUUGGCCAUCAUAAAUUGUCAUUGCCAUGUUCAAAGAACCCAUCCAGUCACCAGCUCUUCGUAAAACCUGAAUCCGUUCCUUCCAUGGGAGAAGCCGGGAAACAAUAAGAUGAGUAGGUCCAAGUACAUAUACAGAAGCUCCUCUUACAGCUAUGCAAUUGUUAUAAGCUUUUUCAGGGUUUCCAAAUACAUUGACGAAGUGAGUAUGAUACGAAAUGAGAUCAUCCCCUCCAAAACCAUCUCGAGAAAAACUUGUUUGGUGAAUUACAGUUCCAUCCUUUGCAAACAAACAAAGUUGUCCAGUCACCGUGAGAACCACCAGCAUCUGAAGACAAAGAACCUCCAAUUAAGCCCAUCAUGUUGUGAACUAAACUCGACUCCUACACAGUUCUAGGCGGAAUAACAUAAAUUCAGCAAAGUGAACGACAAUUAAACAGGUGCAUACCUGAUCAUCCAACCAAGCCACUCCUAUGGCUGAACUUUCAAGAGACCAUUUACCAUAUACUUUCAGCUCUGUUUUGACCAACUUUGCUACUUGAACUUUCCGAUCCCAAGCAAUUGCAAGUAAUGAAACUCUCUCAACUGCUUCAGCAGGCACAUUCUCUAAUCCAAAUAAAUAAAUGAAUAAAUAAAUAAAUGACUAGACCCUCAUCUUAGGACUCCAUUAACUGGUAGCUCAACAAAGAAAGUCAAACUUACCACUAUUAGUAGGUGAAUUGAGCAAUUGAGUUGUACAUUUCCAAGCAGUACAGGGCAUGGAACCCUCACGAACCCCUUCUGGUUUAGAAAGUUGUGCAUAGACAUGCAAACUGGGAGUUAGUCUUACCUGCAAAGAUACAAAUGGUUUAACACGUUGUGAAAUGACAGCGUGUAAAAGAGGCAAGCAUCAAUUCUCAAAAUAUAAGGUACAUGGAAUUCACUCUAUCAUCUGAAGGCUUCAUACCACCAGAGCAUUUUGAUGGGUGACAAAUACGACCACACCUUCUUCAACCAAAGAGGAUCCUUCAUUGAAGAGUUUCCAUCCUGCAUCCGCACCAACCACACCACCCAUCAUACCACCAAUACUGCUGCCUGAACCCAUCGCAUUUCCCUGAGAGGAUAGUGAAGAGCCUCCGCAUGAUUCAUCAAUGAUGAGUGGUGAAGCUGACAGCGUCGUGCCUGUUUUUUGUCCAUCUAGAAGGCACUGUUUCAGUGAAGAUAAAUAAGAUGAUCAAGUUGGAAGAUCACACAUCUACUACUACAUGCCUACAUCUGUCAGCAAUUGAUUUACCUGUGUUUUGAUCGAGAAUCUAUUAAGCAGGGGCACCACAGAGAAGGAAUGUAACAGUACCAGACCCUUACUAUCACCAGUAACUGCCUUAAAAUUACGUGUGACCUGAGAAUCAUGCCCCAAGAAAAAAGUAUGUACAACUGGAGCUGUAUGUUCUCCUGUAAUUACUUUGGCAGCGGAUGCCCUCUGAACAUCCCAAACUGUAAUGUGACCAUCGGCGUAUCCAGCUAAGAGUAGAUCCCCUUGCUGAUUGAAGGAUAUAGAAGUUACCGCAGCAUAAGACCGCUCUCCUUGCAAUCCAAGAAAUAGCAGCUGGAAAAUAUAAUCCAUAGUCGAUUAAUAUGAGCUACCUAUCUCAAUUCAAUAAUAGGUAAAACUAAGCUAAGGAAGAAGAUAUCGAAAUACUGCUUGAGACCUAAAGAAUUAAAUUAAAAGCACUAAGAGUGAGUAACAGAAUGUAACCUUUGCAUCCAUGUUAUCAGCAUUAUGAGGAGAGUAUUUACUGGGGACAACAAGGACAACCCCUCUCGACAUUCCUAUUGCAAUGUAAUUACUGUGAACUCCCAGUACUUGCGGCGAACCAUGAUCACGCCUCAAAGCCGGAGCAGAAAGGGUCCGAGUAAUGGUGUUUUUAGCAUCAACAUCAAAGUAUCCCAAUGUGGUGGACCCUCUCCGAACACCCUCAAGCCUCAUGGGUUGAGCAGCAGCACCCUCUUCCCAAUGCAAAGCAGUUGAAGCUUGUUUCUUCUCCAGCUCUUCAGCAAUUUCAAGCGGCUUUCUCAAUUUCUUUUCCGCUUUUUUACUAACCCUCCUGCUCUCCAAUUGCUCCAUUCUCUCCUCCACAAGCUGAGUGAUUGAAGUUCCCAAUGCACCAUCCUCGUCAUCAAAAUGAUCAUCACCAUCUUUAAUACCAUCAUCAUUAUCACCAACCUCAUCAUUAUCAUCAUUACCAACAAAAUGCUGCUGAUCCUCACCAGUAGGCUCAUCCUCAACAUCACUACGUCUCGGAGAAGGACUGUUCUCAUCCAAUUCCGGAUUAGAUUCCACCGCAACCUCAACAUUCUCAUCGAAUUCAUUAUCUUUACCAUCAUUUCCAUCUAAAUUCAUCGAAUUCUUAUCAAAACUAACACUACUGACCUCUUCUGCACCAGCAUUGCCAGCACUAACUUCAUCUACCACACUCUCCCUCUCCAAAACCUCAUCUUUCCUCCCCAAUUCACCACCAAAACCCUCCUCUGCUCCAUUCGAACUCAUCGCCGUCGUUUCGGAACCAACCGCAUUGUUAUCCUCCGAUCUCACACCCAAUUCCUCAGCCACGACAGCCUCCACAGCCUUCUGGAAGCUCCCGCUCCCGGCGCUCCUCCUCGACUUGAUCGCCGCGGCGUGCGGCGUCGGCAUCGACCUGGAAGCCGCCGCAGCCGCCGCGAGCGCCGCCCCGGGCUUCGCAUUCGUCCUCACACCUCCCAACAGCCACGGCGACGGCCGCGAAACUCUCCCGACCUGAUCGUCCGGGAAGUCACCGGACCUAGCUCGACUAUACAAAUUCAAACCCGGCCGGACCGACUUCUCCUCCAACUGACUCGACCGCGCCGAGGCGACGGAAACGGCGUCGGUUUGUGGCGGUUUGGGAUCGGAGGCGAGGAACUGAGAUAAGGCGGAGCUGCUGCGCGGGGAGGAGGAGGGGGAGGGUGACGUGGAGGAAUCGGUGUCGUUGAGGAUUUCGUCGAUCGUGCGGCGAGGGACGGAGGCGAGGUCGGCGUCGGAGUCGGAAUCGGAGGAGAGGUGGGAGGUGAGGAAGGAGUCGAGGUCGAGCUCCAUGGCGAGUUGGGGUUCCGGCUGUGUGAGCUUGUUGGUCAUCUCCACUGCUUCUUCGUCUUGUUUGCUGUGUUGGCCGGUAGUCCGACUCCGUCAGUGAGUCUGUAAUAGUACGAUACGUCGUUUUGGUUGGAGUUAAAUCGGAAAAUAAAGGGGAGGAACGACAUGUCGUGUUUUUUUUGUUCAAGGUGACAGUUGACACUUGAAGUUCUUUGCUCGAGUCUAUCCACGAAAUUUGUUUUCUCAAUUUUUUCAAUUCAAGAAAUCAAUUUUUUUUUCUGAUGAAUAGAAACAAAAUUACAACGAAAAACCUGAAGCACAAUCUAACCGGUCAAAUCAAAACGCAUAACAUGAAAAACAAAAUCAGGAAAAACAGCACACCAGCUAGCAUAUUGUAAAGUUUGUAGAGUAUGUCUCAAAUUUGUUUAGGCAUUACCUGUAAAAUUUGUCUCUCUCCAGACAUAACGAAAAAUACAGUGAUGAAAUGAAAUAGCCAAGAUUUUUAUAUCUUGAACCAACAUGCUAAUACACUAAAGGGUUUGAAUCUGAUUAUAAACUCAAGAAAUCAAUUGGUGAUGCCUCAAAUCGAAUUUGAUAACGGCGAAUAACAAAUGUAAAAUAUUUAUAGGGUUACAAAUGGUCCUCUCCUUCAUGGUCAUAAGUGAAUGUGAAAUACACAUUCAUGGAGUUAUUAUGGAGUGCCCCGAUUUCUGAUCAAAGGCAUUGGUUUUAGGGCGUGUCAAGUUAGAAGGAAUCAUAUAUAUUUAAGAGUACAACAUUAUAUUGGAGAAUUCGUAAUCCCCCGUUCGGAUAAAUCAAUGAAGUUUCAAGUUUGGCAUUUUGCUUAUUGAGAUCUCUCAAAGGAAAAGCAAAGUUUUGUGGCCAAUAUUUUGGUAAUCUUGAACUCAGGACAAUCAAGUUCGAACAUAGAUCAAUAUUUUGGUUCAAGAUAUUUAAAUCAUGGCUGCUUCAUUUCAAUAUUUCAUUUCUGUGUUUUUCAUCAUAGUUUGGAGUCUUGGAGAAAGAGAUGAAUUUUAUAGCUAAUGCUUAAGUAAACUUGGACACAAUCUACACUGUGCUGGUUGCUAAUUGUUCACGAAAUUAUUAUCUGUUCACGAACUUUAUAAAUCUAAAACUAGCUCAAGAUAAACGAAGCUUUCGUCGAACACACCUGUAUCGCGCCUAACGUGGACAGACGUCGACCCAACCCCCCAUGCCCUACAACUAGAACUCCAGUCCAAGAAACAAUUUACACACGAGGACCUCUUGAGCAUAUUCCACCGUCAGUUUCCCCCAACUGGGUCCGCAACUCGGAACUUGUCCACCGCAAAUCAAUCUCAAGGUCCUAGCAACUUGAAACCCCUCAACAAAGGCGUUUUAGUCUCCAUGUGAAAACUGGAAAUUACACCCUCACCCUUUCCAUCACUUACUUAAAACCCCCACAAAGUCUUGAACAGGCAGAACAGCUGAAUCAUUGAAGCGUUGUCUAGGUAGGUCAGCAGUCUCCUUUUGUUGCUGAUUGCUUUCUUCUUGACUUUUCAACUGACUGAUCUAGUUUCUGAAAGUUCCACUCUUUUUUCCAGCAAUGGCAACUGUCACUGCUUCAAGCUUCACUUGCACAAGCACACAUGUCAACUACGGCGUGUCAUCUUUCCCGGAGGCUAAGACGGCGUUGCAGAACAUGGGGUUUGGGAAGCAGAGUCCGACUCAUAAUGGGUUGCGAGCCUUGAACGUGGUUACUUCGAAAUCGAUUGCGAUGAGGAAAGUGAGUGUUAGGAGUGAGAGACGUUCGGGUGCUAUUGUAUGUGGGAAAGGGAUGAAUUUGGUGUUUCUGGGUGCGGAGGUUGGGCCGUGGAGCAAGACUGGUGGACUUGGAGAUGUGCUUGGGGGUCUCCCACCAGCUAUGGCUGUAAGCUCUUUGUUUCAUUGGUUCUUUGUUUUUGAAUAUCAAAUCAGAGCAUGACUAGUGAACUUGAUCAAUUUUUCAGGCAAAUGGGCACCGUGUGAUGACAAUUUCACCGCGUUAUGAUCAGUACAAAGAUGCAUGGGAUACAGAAGUUAUAGUUGAGGUGUGUGUAUCUAUAGUAUCUUAAAUUUUUAUGUGCCCUAAACUCUUCGAUUUUUUUUUGACAUUAAUCAUGUGUGCAGAUUAAAGUUGGAGAGAAGACUGAGAAGGUUCGUUUUUUUCACUGUCACAAAAGAGGGGUUGAUCGUGUGUUUGUAGAUCACCCGCUGUUUCUUGAAAAGGUUGGUCUUUUGGAUCAUUGUUUUGGGAAUUUUGAAUAGUUUGAGUAGUCGGAGAAGGGACAAAGUUUGAUUUGAAGUGUUGAUGGCUGUGGUUUUUUCUAAGGUAUGGGGGAAAACUGCAUCAAAAAUAUACGGGCCUAUGACUGGAGAAGACUACACAGACAACCAACUUAGAUUCAGCUUGUUGUGCCAGGUAUCUCCAUCUUUGUCACAUUGUGCUGCUGUGUAGUUAUGUACCAUGAUUUUGUGACCAAAGAUUUAGGCUUCUUGCACAAGUGGGGUUGUAGUGUACAUCAGUAACUGGUUAUGUUGGCUUUUGGUUCUAAGUGAGAAGUUGUCGAAAAUGCAGCUUUUGCUGAAGAAAUUUCCUUUUAGAUCUUUGCCUAAAGUUUCCAAUUUGUGUUACAUUCUCUCUGUUACUCUUAAGCUGUUAGGAAAUUCCUUGCAUCUUAUACCUGUCCUUACUGAUUUCUUUUAUGUUCAAUUCUCGUGAUUGUAUCAACUUAUAUAUUUUAGGCAGCUCUAGAGGCACCGAGAGUUCUGAAUCUUACCAGCAACAAAUAUUUUUCAGGACCAUAUGGUAGGAAAUCGUGACUGCAGUUCUCUAAACCAAUUCUCAUACUAUAUAAAAUAUCAGUCAUUUAAUAAAUUGAUACCAUGAACUUCCUACGUGCAGGAGAAGACGUUGUUUUCAUUGCCAAUGACUGGCACACAGCCCUCCUCCCAUGCUACCUGAAAGCCAUAUACAAACCUAAAGGAAUAUACAAGAGUGCUAAAGUAAGUGACUGGUGUAUGUUCGACUUUUGUUGUGCCCAUUCCUGUCAGAUGUAAUUCCUUAAGGUAGUUUGCCAAUCUUGUUACAGGUAGCCUUUUGCAUUCACAACAUUGCAUACCAAGGCAGAUUUGCAUUUGCAGACUUCUCACUUCUCAAUCUACCAGCUGCCUUCAAAAGCUCCUUUGAUUUCAUUGAUGGGUAUGGUUUUCUGGCACAAUAGAAUGGUAGUAUUGUAUGACUGCAUCUUGACUAUGACUCAUUGCAAUUCUACAGCUAUGACAAACCAGUGAAAGGGAGGAAACUUAACUGGAUGAAAGCUGGAAUCUUAGAAUCAGAUGUGGUCUUGACUGUUAGCCCGUACUACGCCAAAGAAGUUGCUUCUUCAGUUGAUAAAGGAGUCGAAUUGGAUAAUAUUAUUCGCAAAACUAAAAUUCAAGGUAUAAUAAAUGGCAUGGAUGUCCAGGAAUGGAACCCGUUAACUGACAAGUAUACAGAUGUCAAAUAUGAUGCUACAACAGUAAGAUUACUAAACUUGAACUCCCAUGAACAGAUUAUUUGAGUUAUAUGGCAAUAGUAGUUUUUGAAGUUUGGGUUACUUAGGUGACGGCUGCGAAGCCUAUUCUGAAAGAAGCUCUCCAAGCAGAAGUCGGUUUGCCAGUGGAUAAGAACAUCCCUGUGAUAGGUUUCAUUGGUAGGCUUGAAGAGCAGAAGGGUUCUGAUAUUCUUAUAGAAGCGAUACCCCAAUUCAUCAAAGAGAAUGUGCAGAUUAUAGUUCUUGUAAGUACCAGGCAUGGAAGAUGUUUUUUCACCGCCUUUUGCAUAUUUUGAAUCUAAAUACUAAAGAGCUAUCUUUAUACUAUCCUAAGGAGCAUUCUGAAUUUCUAUCAGGGGACAGGCAAAAAACCAAUGGAGAAGCAGCUUCUUGAAUUGGAAGCAAAAUACCCUGACAAAGCUCGAGGAAUUGCAAAAUUCAACGUUCCUCUCGCCCAUAUGAUAACAGCCGGAGCUGAUUUUAUGUUGGUUCCCAGCAGAUUUGAGCCUUGUGGUCUCAUUCAGUUGCAUGCUAUGCGUUAUGGAACUGUAAGAUCCGUGUUUCCAAAAAGUUCUUCCUUCGAAUUAGUAUACAGAUCAUGUACUUUCUUCUAACUGGGUAGCUUUACUAAUUCACUCCAGCUCUUUGCAGGUUCCCAUUGUUGCAUCAACUGGCGGAUUGGUAGACACAGUUAAAGAAGGAUACACAGGAUUUCAUAUGGGAAGUUUCAAUGUUGAGGUAAUACAUAUUUUUCUUUAGGUCUGCACUGAUUUUCAUUUGUGUUAGUAUGAGCUUCAGCCUUAGAAAUGAUCUUUCAGUGUGAGGUUGUUGAUCCUGUGGAUGUACAAGCUGUGGCCACAACUGUCAAAAGAGCUCUUGCAACUUACGGAACCCCGGCUUUUGCUGAGAUCAUUAAGAACUGCAUGUCUCAAGAUUUCUCGUGGAAGGUAUGAUACUUGAAAUCAUGAAUAAUCCAUUAACGUCCAUAGAAUCACGACAGUCCAUAUCUAAUGUGAUUGUGGCACAUUGGGACAGGGACCUGCUAAGAAGUGGGAAGAAGUGCUUCUAAGUUUGGGUGUUGCUGACAGUGAACCCGGACUUGAUGGUGAAAAUGAGGAAAUUGCACCCCUCUCCAAGGAAAAUGUCGCAACACCAUGAAAACAACACAAGUUCAACCUGUUGAUUCAGGAUCAAACAGUUUUCUGAACCAACACAGAACAGGAUCUGCUGUCCUAACUGACCCUGCUUAAAUGCAUUGUAUUAUGUAGCUGUAGAGGCACGAAGUAUAUACAUCCUUGGCCGGAACAAGUGACGCCCUCUACGCAAGUGUAAUGAUAGCUUAGUCAUCGCAGCCAGCGGUGGCUCUCACCAACGCCUACAGUAUAGGCUGUAUAGCUAGUAGUGCAAAUCAAGAUUUAAUACAAGUUGUAUCGAUGUUUCAUGAUAUUUUGUGCGAACAACCAUAAUCUAUCAAGCAAACCACCAAUUCAGCUUGUCCUUGACCAAAUAUUGCAACAAAUUUCGAUACCAAGGUUUAAACACUGCCAUUGAACAACCUUAUUGACAUUGACAAAUCGAGCUAAAAGAACACCAAUCUAAGAGCACGGUAACAGCAACCAACCAACAAUUCAGGUUUGGUCAGUGCCUCACUUAAGUGACUUCUUAAUGUUUCCAACUCGAUGAACAUUGGAGCUCAUUUAACAUUAACAUUAACAUUAACAUUAACAUGCAUAACAAUGCUUUACAGUCUAGCACUAUUCAAGUCCACUUGAGAAAACCAGAAACCUACACACAAUUAAAGUCCUACAACUAACAGAGAGACACUAGACAAUGUGCAAAACAAAUCAGUCCAACAAAGAACCUUAGUCGUGCAUCUGAUACUAAGCUAAGUUAGAUGCAUUGUGCAAAACAAAUCAACGUUAGUAAUGCAUACCUUUGGCAACAUAAUUAUAUAUCAAGAAGCUCAAACACAAAUACUCAAAAUUAAGAUGAAUGCUCAGAAAACCAUACUCUCUGAACAAUUUGUCUUCAGACAUACACAAUUUCAAAACCAAAAGGGAGAAACCCUACUAGAUUGAUUAAAAGUAAAAUAGUCUCAAAAGUACUACAAGUUCUGAAACAUAAAAUCACUGCUUAUAAUUUUGAAAUGGAGCUCCUAGUCGAACAAGCUGAAUCCCAUAUCAUCAUCACUCUCUUCCUUUGGCUCCUCCUGUAAAAUCAAACACACAAAACACAUAUCAGAUAACCCCCUCAAGGCAUCAACAGCUCAACCAAACAAACACAAUUCGUAAUCUUAUAAGAACAAAUCCAAUACCUUCUUCUCUUCAACUGGAGCAGCUGCGGCAGGGGCCGCACCAGCGCCAGCACCUGGGGCGGCGACGGCAACAGCACCGCCACCACCUCCGGCACCAACAUUCAAGAUGAGGUCACCAAUGUCUCUCUUCUCGGCAAGCUUGGCAAACAAACCAGGCCAGUAGGACUCCACAGAGACAUUGGCAGCUUUGACCAAAGCAGCGAUCUUCUCAGGCUAUAACAACCAAACCAAAACAACAACCUCAGAACUCAAACUCACAGCCAACCCACAAACUCAAACAAAUACAGAUUAAACAAAACAUGGUCUAACUCAAUAAGCAACAAAAUUAAACAAAACACUCAUAAAAAUCAAAACUUUAGUUAACGAUGCUUACAGUGAUAGCGAUGCCAUCGUCGUGGAGGAUCAGAGCGGCGUACGUGCAAGCAAUCUCUGAGAUCGACAUGAUAUCUGAAAUGAAAUCCAAAACCCAGAACAUGAAUUAAUACUAUUUACUAUGACCAAGUGAACACUAAUAAUCGAAAAGCUUAAACCUUUGGGUGAUUGGGAGGGAGAGGGAGACGGGUUUUACCUGAGGAAGAUGAGAUCUGAGAGUGAUUGUGCUUGGAGUGCUCUGCGGCUGCUGCAACUUACACCACAAUGGCUCUGCUUUAGGGUUUCUGAAAUUGUGGCGAGGUAUAGGUUUUAAAGGCGCUUCAAUGGGCCUCCCUCAUAUCUCUGAAGCCCAUUUAAAGGAUUUGGACUACCCACUCAAGCCUUGAUCAAAUAAACAUCAUAAAUAUGAGGGAAAACAUUUUGCCUCAACUCCAUAUUACAUCUUAACAAUAAAAAAAUGUCAUUCUCAGAAAGAAAAAAAAAAAAAAAAAAAAAAAAAACAAUAAAAGAAUGUCUUGUAAUAGUAGUACGAAUUCCUACAAAACAAUAUAUUCUAAGGCCAAUUACAUAUAAGUCCACUUUGAGACAUUUUUUCCCACCUAGAUCCACCCCAACAUUUUUACCUACGUAAGUCCACCCAAGUCUAAAUAAAGUUUUGUAUUAAGUAUUAAAGUUCAACAUAAUUACAGACUGCCAUCCAACAAAAAAAAUUAGAUUUUCUCCUUUAUAUUUACAAGAAUGCCACUAGUAUAAAAAGUCAACAACCACUCUCAUUUCGGAACAGUCUCCGGCGGACCUCCAGCGAGAUUUCCAGUGGACCUUCGGCGAGGUUUCCGGCCGACCUCCGGCGAGGUUUCCGGCGAAGUUUCCGGCCGACCUCCGACGAGAUUUCCGACUGACCUCCGGCGAGGUUUCCGGCCGACCUCCGACGAUGACAAAAAUUACUACUACCAGCUAAAAAACUACUACCACCAGCUAUAAAAGCUACUACCACCACCUACAAAAGCUACUACAAAAGUUUCCGGCCAACCUCCGGCGAGAUUUCCGACCGACCUCCUGCGAGGUUUCCGGCCGACCUCCGACGAUGACAAAAAUUACUACUACAAGCUAAAAAAGCUACUACCACCAGCUAUAAAAGCUACUACCACCGCCUACAAAAGCUACUACUGUGAGGUUUUCGACGAACACAAAAGCUACUACCACUAGCCACAAAACUACUACCACAAGCUACAAAAGCUNNNNNNNNNNNNNNNNNNNNCAAAUUCCACAACUAAAUUAGCAGUCAGUGAUGCGUGAUCAAGAUUGAACAAGAAUAUAAAUGAAUCGGAAUACUCACAAAACCAUAGCCCUUGGAUCGGCCGGUGUCCUUGUCAGAAAUGACAACCGCCUCAAGGCGGUGGAUCCUCGAUAGAUCUGCACCUCACCGACGAAUCACCUUCGUCGUCACCGUCUCGAACUCAUAGGAGAAGGUGCGGAGAAGAAGAUGACGAGGCUGAUCGGAGAAGGUGCGGCCAGUGAUGACGGGGCUAAUCAGAGGAUCGGAAAAGGUAGAGGAAGGUCCACACACACUGGGGAGAUCUACUAAGGCGCAUAAAUCUCUGCUUCCAACGGCGGCGGGCGCCGAACAAGUGGUGGAUGACGUCGUCGGAGUUGGUUGGACCUUGUAGAUCCGGCUGCGCGUUGAGGAGAUGCAGUCGAGGUCGAAGCGGAGGUCGUCGAGGAGUCGUCGACGGUGGAUCCAUAUNNNNNNNNNNNNNNNNNNNNNNNNNNNNNNNNNNNNNNNNNNNNNNNNNNNNNNNNNNNNNNNNNNNNNNNNNNNNNNNNNNNNNNNNNNNNNNNNNNNNNNNNNNNNNNNNNNNNNNNNNNNNNNNNNNNNNNNNNNNNNNNNNNNNNNNNNNNNNNNNNNNNNNNNNNNNNNNNNNNNNNNNNNNNNNNNNNNNNNNNNNNNNNNNNNNNNNNNNNNNNNNNNNNNNNNNNNNNNNNNNNNNNNNNNNNNNNNNNNNNNNNNNNNNNNNNNNNNNNNNNNNNNNNNNNNNNNNNNNNNNNNNNNNNNNNNNNNNNNNNNNNNNNNNNNNNNNNNNNNNNNNNNNNNNNNNNNNNNNNNNNNNNNNNNNNNNNNNNNNNNNNNNNNNNNNNNNNNNNNNNNNNNNNNNNNNNNNNNNNNNNNNNNNNNNNNNNNNNNNNNNNNNNNNNNNNNNNNNNNNAGAGAGAGAGAGAGAGAGAGAGAGAGAGAGAGAGAGAGAGAGAGAGAAUUGGUGUAAAGGAGAGGAGGGCAUUUUAGGUACAUCGUAAAAGUAAAAUAACAGAUUUAGCCUUAAAAGUGGACUUAUAUGAGUAAAACUGUUAUGGUGGACUUAUAUAGGAGAAAAUGUUCAGAAUGUGACUUAUAUGAAAUUUUCUAUAUAUUCUAAAACGCAUCUAAUAGCAGUGGUUGAACAUAAAGCAAUUGCAUUUGCUCACACAAAUGGUUACAUAUUGGAAAAAUUAAACUCACGAAAAACAUCAAUAUACAAAUAAAAGUAGUUUUCCCACUAUCUUGUAGUUAGAAAACAAACCGACGACACAUUGUUUCAUCCUAACAUGAAGAGGUGACAUCCAAUUAGCAAAGCAUUGCCACCUCACAAGACUAGCGAAGGCACUUAGAGCAUGCAAAUCAGGACAAAGUCUGCUAAAUCUUACCGUAAAUCGAUAUGGUCUUAUGAAAAUAGAAACGCCAUAAAAGAUAACAACGUAUAAAGCAUAGAAACCUACUUCAUAUAACCCACCGGCAGAGACCCAUAAGAGCAUAAGAUGCCCUAGUCAAAACAUGUUUAACCAGCUCACUAGCCUAUGAACCAUAUCGUGCACCAUCGAUAACCACAACUCCAACAUACCAUAUUUUACAUGUACGCCCACCGAUUACAGUUAAACCAAUUCCCAAAGAUGUAUACCCAAUCGAAUUCCCCAUUGUACGGUACAAGAUAACAUACACUGCAAUUCGGCGCAUACGAUCUUGCCAUUGAUGUAAAUGUAGCAAAUUCAUACACAAACAUACCCGACCCGCAACUUCGUUGGUUCUCCCAUCUUGAACCAACCGCGGUAGACAAAUUGAGGAAAUUAUUUGUCCAAUGAUGAAGCGUUGUCGCACAUAACCGCGGAAGAAGCAUUACGGUUAAGAACAUGUGUUGUUUUUUUAUCAGAAUACGAAUAACAUUUUUCUUUUCCAAAUAAGGGGAAAGAAGUUGCCAUAAACUAAUUUCAGAUAACUUCAUAUGUUAGUCAGUGAGGUCAGGAAAAACAUCUGCUACAAAAUUCGUUUCAGAGUACAUAGUUAAAAGAAUUCGCUUCAGAGUCAAAGAAGCGAGGAUGAAUGCAGUAAUCAAGGGUAUCUCUAUUGUUAGGGUCGUUCGCUUGUUGUGUGAUCAACUUAAUAAACCCGUAAACGAUAAGGUAGUCGAUUCGACUGUUUGGUUGAAAGUGAGGGUCCAAAGAAGAAGCAAUCAUCAAUUUCACCAAACAAUGAAGCAGAUAUGUUUAGAACUAUUCUGACAUACCCGUAACUGUCCUAAUGUAUACAACCUGCAUCUAUGUUCUUCAUUCACGAAUUAAGAGUAUCUCAUAUUUGAAUCCCAAUCAUGAAGUUCCAUCUUUGUAUGUGCAAGUUAUACAAACUUGAGUUCGACUAAUUUGUUUGUGCUGUUUGGUCCCCAAUCUGUACCUAAGAAAGUGAAGGGAUUACGUAGGAAUCCUGUUACCAUCAUGUUAUAACGUGUUCAAAGGUCAGAUAACUUAAGAUGCCAAAUCAAACCCUUCCACCCGAACAUUCCUACUUUCUUCUCAUGAUCAUCAUAAUUUGACAAACAAACUCUAUUCACUUUAGAGUAUAAUUUAGAUAUUCGUUAAAUGUAGCAGCCAUGUCACUAGUCAUUAAUUGUUCGAUAUAAAUUUAAUUUUAAUUUCGCCAUGCAUAUAAGACUUUUGACCAUAAAAUUGAGAAUAACGAACAAGCAACAUGGGUAUAUUUUUGAAUAGAUAUAUAUGCUGAACAUUGUAAAAGAUGUUUGAAAGAAAACUAGAAUUGAUUUAUCAAAAUCAGAAGUCAUAUUUUGAAAAUGGCCAAUGGUUUUUCUUUUCUUUUUAUCACAGUUUCUACAUGAACAAUUUGUUGGCAUCACUGGUGUACAAGCCCCUGUUUAUUCUUGAUUAUUUUCUUCUAUUCUACUUUUGUUGAAGACCCCAAUUCCCUCUCAAACUCCGUCUUUGAUUUCAGUUUUCAAAAUCUGGAUAAAGAGCAAUAGAAGAUUAGAAGGUUUCAGUACUCAUCUGUUUACAGUUUCCUCCCAAGUACCUCAAUUUCAAUUUGCUUUUGCAACUUUAAAAGUUAAAAACAAGCAGAUUCUGUAAAACCAGCAUGACAACUUUUGUGAGAUCCCCUUGGAUGCCAAACACAUUCUUCAGAGCUUGAAAGAGAUUGGUUAUGAAAAAAGAAUUUGAAUCAAACUGAGUGAACAUUGCACAAUGACAGUAAAAGCAUCUACCAACAGAGAAGUAAGAGACAAAUCUUCUAUUUUUCCAACUAAUCCUGUGAUCUUAAUAAGUAUCAAUCAUGAAUAGUGGACUAAACAAAAAAAUUACAAGUUAAAUUGGCCAAGCUCUCCUAGCUUUGACCAAACUGGGAUUCAAAGAUAAAAAAUCAAUCUUUUUCAUCCCUUCACUUUACCAAUAUAAACAAGAGGGUAUAUGUCAUUGGAUGCUCUCUGCAUCCUAGACACAACCAUCUGGUAAAUUAGUAACUGAGGUAGAAUCCAAAGCCAAUAUUUAGCUUCUACCUCCAUGCCAUGCCAGACAAUUCAUGAAUAAGUCAUAUGAUCCUUAAAAUUCUUCUCUAAUGAGUGCUAACAACUACUUAAAAGAACUGAUUCCCUAUUUCACCUAAUUGACCAGAACAUGUAUGAUGAUGAUUGAAGACAAUGAUGAUGAUGAUGUUAGUGGAGCAAGCAAGCUUCUCAGAAAUGCAGACUUCGGUACCCUUUUUCUUCUAUUCUUCUGGUUGCUGAUAUACCUGCAGCAAGGCACCCUUUUGACGAAUGUGGUUUCCUUAUUAACAUUUUCCCUUCACUUUGGCACUUGAUCAACUAUAACCCAUUUACCAAUGUGGAUAAUUAUCUUUUAACUCGAGGAAUUAUGUUCCGAAUUGGUUGCAGAAGCUCCAGUUACCCCAGUGGCUGCUGUUACACCUAUAACAACAAUUUGCAUGUAAUCAAAUCCUCUUGAGAUGAUCCAAAUUUGAUUUGCAGAUUUGCAGUAAAGAAUCUGGAAAAGGGUCAUUUCUGUUUUUACCUGUGGUGGUAGAUAUGGUAGUAGUAAUUGGGACUGAAGAAGGAAGUGACAGAAUCCCAGCUGAAGAGCCAUAAUGCUGAGGUAUAUAGGGGUAUUGCACCAUUUGGGGAUAUUGAACUCCAAAGCCUUGAGCUUGGUUACUACUAGCUUGUGCAUAUUGAGCAGAAGCAUAGUAUGGGUAGUAAUUGUGGUACAUGCCAGCUGGUCCUGAUGCCCCUGUUGUGGUGGUGUAGUAAGGUGAGAAUUGUUGACCACCAUAAACACUAUAAUAGUUCUGCAAGAAACACAGAAUGACAUUGUUUAAUACAAUUGUUUAUGAAUGAAUAUUGAUAAUGAAACAAUGCUGCAUCAGAACACUAAAACAGAAGGAAUCUAUGAAAAUGAUAGAUGAUUUUACCAUGGGAUAUAUGGAAUCUUGUGAAUAUCCAGAGUACCUGUAAGAGAAAAACCCCAGAAGAAUUCAUAUAUUAAAUACAGAACAAUAUUAUGCAGAAGAAAGAAAGAAAGAUUUGGGUGAGAAAUUCCCUAUGAUUUUAUAACUCACCCAUAUGCUGAAUAAGGAAAUGCGUAUUGACCAGUCGGUUGAUGGAAGUAUGUGGAUGAAGAACCAUGAUAAGCAGGUGGAGCUACUAAACCAGGUGCUGGUCUAAACCUUCCUAAACCUGCAUUGCCAAAAGAAAUGAAUGAAAGAAAGAAAAAGUACAUCAUCUUGUUCUUUUCAAUCCAAUCCUAGCAAUUUUAGAUCCACACUUCAAUUCACUACCAAACAAACACAGCAACUGUGAAAAUCGGUUUUGAGAAUAUGAUCCAGGGGAUCACUGCCAUGAUUCAUAAAAGUGGAUAUCGAAACGAAUAUAUCAUUUUGGUGAGAGAAAAAACACAAAACACAAAUGAAAAAAGAGAGAGAGCUUUUGGUAUGAGAAAGACAGAGACCAUGUUGAGCAGUUGGUGGACGAGUUUUCUGUGCACCAAGAGAAGCAAGAUUGCAGUUUGCUCUUCUUCCAUCAAUAACAGGAGAUGGAUUCUGACAAGCCCUCAUGGCUGCCUCUGGAUCCUUAAAUGUGACCUAAGAAAAGAUCAAAAAUUUAUGAUAUCAGAAACCAGAAAAAGCUCAGAGAAAAAGAUACAUGCAAAUAAUGAAAAAUACCAAAAUCCACAAAAGAUAAAAUGUGAGGCAUACAAAUCCAUAGCCUUUGGAUCUUCCGGUGUUUUUAUCUGUAAUAACAACAGCCUCCAAGAUCUCUCCAAACUGCUCAAAGUACCUCCUCAUAGUCUCCCUCUGAGUCUCCCAAGCCAAACCCCCAACAAAGAUUUUGGUAAAAGUUGUGUCAUUGUACUGAUGGCCUGGAAUGUUAUUGUUACCUCCCAUCAUCUGAAAUUGCCUUGCUUGAGACAUUAACAUAAAACACAAGUCUGUCCCAACAAAGCAAAGCAAAGACAGAAAACCCAGAACCCCAAAAACAGAGAGAAUAAGAAAGAACAAAACUUGGCAACUUUUUCUGGGUUUUUUUUUUCUUAUGCAGAUUGAGGAUAUCACAUCAAAAUGAAAAGAAACACACUCGUGCAGAGCUGUGAUUCUUCUUCUUCCUCUUCCUCUUCUGCUUCUAUGACUCUGUUUUGUUUUUCAAAGGGUAUACUAAUGAUGAUAAUAACUCUCUCUUUUUAGGACAACUCCUCAGAUUCCUCAACAAGGAUGAUACCCGUAACGAGAAAAUCAUUACUGUUGAGGGUGGAAAGGGAAAGAAGAAAAAACAAAUGCUUCAAAAUACUUAUAUGCAAAAUCACAUUACUUAACAUAGAGGGGAGAGUCAGAGAAAUUUAUUAAUCAAAAUACAAAUUUUGGAGAAGAAGAAAGAAAAGGAGAAGACAAGAAAGCUGCUAGUGGGCACCCACGGCGCAAUAGGGUGUCCAAUGAAAAUGUCCAAGACCAGAAGACCAACACUACCUUUUCCUUGCUGUAAUACAAAAACUUAAAGAAUGGAUUGUAACACUGUGAAUUGGAAAUCAAAAUGCAUAAAGAUUACAUUUUUAUUUUUGGUUUUGUGGGAAGGUGGGUCUUGGAUCAACAUUUGCUUCGCUGUCUUCAACCUUCCAGUUUUUCCUGUGCUCUCUUUCUGUUUGAACUCCGUUUAUGGCAUUUUCUUUUGUGGGUCUCUGAGAUAUGAUACCUUGAGUCUCCAAGCUUGCAGCUAAUGGCAAACUUAAAAAAUAAAUACAGGAAAUGGUGGACCAAAAUUUUCUAGCACGACCUCCUAAAUUUUCUUGAGCACAAAAUUUGGGUUUACUAAAUUUACUAAGAGCACCUCUGUUCUUCCUUAAUCAGAUCAGUUAAAAACUUAAAACCCCAAUAAUGCCCACCAUUGCAGUUUCACCUAAAACUUGAUCCUCUUCAAUUUUGCUUUCCUAUUUUGACAGUUUGGGUCCAUUUUACUUCUGUGUUUUGCUGUCCAGAUUUACCUCAUCUUUCAUGAUGAAAGGAAAAAAAACAUUGCCAUAGUGUUUAAGCAGUUGUGUUGCAAUUAUAGCACAGAUGGAUAUCGUGGAUCAUGUUAAGUAGUUGAAAGUUGAAGAAUAGCCAGGACUAGUUGUUGCAUCACAAUAAUGACCAGCUCAAUGCCAUUGAUUCACAAACCCAUCACCUGUAAAUCUCAUAGCUAGGAUUGUAGGGGUUCAGGGUUUUUGCUCAAACCAGUUGAGGUUGAGCUGUUGAGGUUGAUCAUGCAGAGAGGGCAACCUAGUAUUUUGAGAAGGAAUCAAACUACUUAAUUAGGGCACCCCCAUGUAAUUAGUAGUUGCUAAUCUUGUACUAGAAAUGAUUAAGAAAGGAAGAAGCAGUGGUAAGCGUGGUAAGCGGCGUUUAUAGUGGUCGAAAUGGGAGACUGGGCGAGUGAGUGAAUUUACUAAACUAGGUCUCACCGGAGAUAAAAACAAUUCAAAACUCUACAAAACUGAAUCAUGGCUGCCUCCACCGCACAACGGCUUUGGACUGACGGAGAGAACGGUCAAACCUCUUCUUCUUUUUUAAUUCGUUCAAAUUUUAAUUUUUUUCUUUUUCUUUCUGGUUUUAUUGGGUGUCGGCUCUCUUGGCGGCUAGUCAUUUGGUCUUAGCUUGGCUUGACGGAAUAGGGUUCUAUAGCUAUGGAUAUAUACAUCACCAUGCACAUUGCUUGACAUAAAAGAUAAGAUUUUCAAUAUCUCCUAUUUAUAUAAGGAGAUGAAAAUGACACUAAACCUAUCCCCAUUUUGGGUUAUUUGAAACUAAGUUUGGAUAAUCUCAUUUAGCUGGUAAACUUGUUGCUUUGCAAGAUGCUUUAGUUACAUCUUUAUUUCAUUAUAUUCGUGUGAACGUUCAUAUCAUCUUCUUUUCAGAUUGAAAAUUUAUAUCAAAACAAUGAUGUGUUUUUGUCUUCUAACAAGUACGUACUUAUUUAUAUAUCGUAUACACAAUCAAGUAGGUCUUUAUUUAUAUAUAUCGUUGCUUUGCAAGAUGCUUUAGUUACAUCUUUGUUUCAUUAUAUUCGUGUGAACGUUCAUAUCAUCUUCUUUUCAGAUUGAAAAUUUAUAUCAAAACAAUGAUGUGUUUUUGUCUUCUAACAAGUACGUACUUAUUUAUAUAUAUUGUUCUUGUUCAGUUUAGUAUACACAAUCAAGUACAUAAUUGCAAUAAAGAUGUAUGAUAUCAGCUAAUGUUUUCAGGAAUAAUCUACACACUGUGUUUUAGACAUUGUACGGUUGAGAUGUGGAAAUACGACCUAAAAGUGAGCGAAAUAAUGAGUCCCGCACUUUAAUUUCAAAGCGGGAUCCCACUCUGAAAUGGGACUAUAUAUAUAUAUAUAUAUAUAUAUAUAUAUAUAUCAAUAUUAUUUAGUCUUAUUUGCGGUGGCAUGUUAUAUUUAUGUUUGUUAUUCAGCAGUUUCAUAAAUUAAGGUUUGAUUGAGGACAAUCGCACCAAAUUUUUAUUUAAAAUAAAAUAAAAUUAAGGGAUAGAAAUUAGCAUCGGAACGAAUGCAUUAACUACCAUUGUUUCAAAUUUACCAAUACGUGUUUAGUUUUCAAGUUUUAAUGUCUUUCAUAUGUCCGUCUAUAAUUUGCGAUUGAAAACUCUAAUUUUCUUUCAUGACCUAUCAAUUUGUAGUUUUGAUCUCACAUGGCCAUGCCAUGAUUACGAAACAUGUACUAUUUUCGCUCAUCAUAAGUAAGUAGUGGACAUCAAGAAAUUAAUUGCAUAGAACGGUCAUAUUCAACUAAGAGAUUAAAAAUUGGUCACAUUUGACAAAGUGCAAUAGGUCAAUUUCAGAUACACCAAACAUUGGUAUAGUGCUCCAUUAAUCCCAACAUUGUUAUCGUUAUGUGCCAAUUUUCCGGCCCUAAUUCCAUUCUCUAUGUGCCAUCGCUUUAAGAGAUGCAAUUUAGAUAAUAUGCAUUAGUUAACUAAUUGAUAACCCGACAAGCGAUGCAAAAAGACUGAUCUAGGAAGAGAUCACUUUCAUAUGAUGACAUGCAAUGUGAUCAAUUGAUCAUAUAUUGUUAGUUUGUGUUCAAUUGAAAAAGGAAAAAAAUGUGUCUUUUUUAAUUCGUAUAGGGUUUUGCUUAAUGUCCAUAUAGAGGAUUAAGUCUUUGACUGGCCUCAUUCUAACAUUUCGUCUAGACGUAUAUUUAGUAAGUUUGUUCACAUGAAACAGUUUUAACUUAUGAGAAUCAAAUGCAUCUCAAUCACAUGUAUUAAAUAUAAAAACAUAAAUUAAUACAACUUGAAGUUAUGCAUAUACUUUCAGCCAUCCGAUUCACUCGUCCUGGCCUCAGAGUCUCUUAAAAACCAUCGCUUUAGUGAGCAGGUCUUAGUAUACAAAUUCAAAGAAAUUAAUCUUGCACUUCCACUAUAGUAACCCAGAGAGUUUCGAAAUGAUACCGUCACACAUGCCCUCAUAAGAAAAAGAUCACGAACCACAUGUUACCAUAGUCCUGCUGUCUAGAUCCACUUCAUGCUAUGCAACUCCCACAUGGCUUCUCACUGUUGUUUAAUCAGUAAGUCCACAAAGUAACCCGAAGAUUGAAUUACAAACAGAGGAGGUUCCAUCAGAAAUCGUGCCAAAGAAAGCUGGGUUGGCUUCAGGACAAGCAUGCAAGCCGAUGGAGCUCCCUUUGCUCUAGCUGAGUGAGAUCGAAAAUCAAAUCCACGAGAAAAGUGAAAGAGCUAGCUAAUGUGGAAUUGUGGAGCAUGAGAGAAAAUGUGGAGUGUGUCGUGUAUAUGGUAUUAGGCUAUAAUAUCCACAUGAAGAGAAAGCUGCAGAACCAGGGAGGCAAAUUGCAGCAGCAAUGCACAUGCUUCUCUUAUCACUUCUGCUAUCUUUUUCCCAUUACCAUCCCUCAACCUCAUUCCAUGGUCCUCUUUUUGAAGCUUUUCCCAGUUGAGGAAACUAGCUAGGGCAUACACCGGCCCUCUCAUCCUCUCAUGUAGCUAGGGCAAUCCAACGGUUUAAGUGACAAGGUCUGACCUAGCUAGUCGAUUUGCAGCAACUGUGGGAGUAUGAUGAGUAUGGUCUUGUUUGACCGAGCUAGCUUAGUGACAGUGAUGUAUUGCAGAGAUGUACGUGGUUCCUUUGGAGUACGUUGUAAUACUGCCCACAUAACUGAGUUUUAUUGCAUCAUAUAUAAGCCCCAUUGCGUUCUGGCAUUCACGAGUGGUUGCUGCAGAAACUGCGAUCGAGCUUGGAAGUCAGCUUAUAUACGAUCAUCAAAAACGUGGCAUUCAUGAAAGGAAAAGAGACCGAGUCCCACAAGUUAGUACUACCUCCUCCGAUUUCAACAUCACCAAUACAAGUCCCAAUAAUCUAACAUGAACAGGCGGAAAGGAAAUGAAUUUAGAGGCCCUAAUUACAUACUAGUGAUACUACAGAUAAGUUUUGAUUGUUUUCUCCAUGCCAUUGGUCGAGGGCUGGGUGACUGUGAUAUGAGGACUCGUAGGCCCUAGGCAGGCUACUCCUAGAAUGUGAUGUGAUGGGCCUUGAAGCCCCAAAAACAGAAAGGAGAGAUGGAGAGAGGGUGAAGCCUUUUUUAUUUUAUUUUUUCCCGAAAUCACAUGAUUUCUUCAAAGACUUUAUAGGUCCGUGUUGAGAAAACAUCUCGAAAUGUUUCCUCCCCUCUAACCAUCAAGAAUAUAUUGAGGUUUAACUCUUCAAACCUAGAUAUGAAAGUUCCACAUCUAGACUAUUUCCAACUCGAUUACUUGUGAUAGUUUGAACUUUGAAACCCAAGUAACAUAAUAUGAUAAUACUUUACAUUUCUUGUUUUCUUUGAUUUAAUUAGCUAACGAUAGUUUGCACGAAGUGCCAUUGUAUUGAAGGUAAAACAAAAGAGCUAGCAGCUGAUAAAUGAUUACAUUAAUCGGUCAUAAAAAGUAUACAUAUGAAGAAGCUUGGAUUCCAAUGAACACAUAGUAUGUUGCAAACUUGCAACCAAUCCUUAUUGGGUAGAAAUUUAUAAUUAAGUUUCAUGUCAAUCUAUUGAUAGGAGCACAAAAUGCUACGUUUAUAAUGUAUUUCCGACCCUAUUUAGCUAUGUAAUUCCCUUAACAAUAUUCAUAUUAACUAAGUUUGUGUUUUUAGGUCAUAAAUAAAGCCAAGGAGCCUAAAAGAGACAAAAGAGGAGAAAUCUUGAAGGAAAAGGAAUCCAUGUUGUGUAAGGAAAGAAAUCAGAAAAUCUGCCAGAAAUCGUCAGUCAACUUCGACAGAAGAUUGUGAUUAGCUCACAAUGAUGCAGGAGAUGUGCCAUAUAUCAAUGGAAAGCUACAAGAGUCUACUUUCCAGAACUUUUUACGGAUCGUCAAUACCUAUUUUGGAGAAGAAGUUAUGACCGUUUAAAUGACCGAAGGUCAGUCUGCCCGAAUUUCUUAUUUGGACCAAAACUUCUGUUUUGAGACCUAGACCACAUUGGUAAGCCCAUGGACGAGUUUUGAGGGUUUUAUAACCCUAAUCACAGACGUGAAGGAAGGAGGGAAAAAGGCCAGAGAGGACGUGAAGAUUAGAGGAGGCCAACGAUCUCACCAUCAUCAGAACCUCCAUAGUUGUAGACUCGCACAAGGAAGCCGCCAAGCCAUCAUUGAUUUCUCCAUCAUCCACGGUUUAUCUUUCCUUUGUCAUCUUUUAUUCUCCUUGUGUGUCUUUGCAGCCAUGUGUGGCUGAAUUCUCUUAGUUAGGGGCAAGGUUUGAAGCCCCAAGAAUGUUUUAGAUAUUGUUUUGAACCUUGGUUUCGAAUUAUUAAGUCUUUCAAAUUGUUUAUUUGGNNNNNNNNNNNNNNNNNNNNUGUGGCUGAAUUCUCUUAGUUAGGGGCAAGGUUUGAAGCCCCCAAAGAAUGUUUUUAGAUAUUGUUUUGAACCUUGGUUUCGAAUUAUUAAGUCUUUCAAAUUGUUUAUUUGGUUUGGUUUAUGGAGAACUCUUGCUUGUUUAUGUUCAUGUAUGCGCAACAUAGAACAUUAUGAACUUGUGAGUGGGGCUAGAAUUAGGUUGUUUAAUCUCCUAAACGGUUAAUACGGCUUAGUUCAAAGUAGUAAAACCUAUAGGACAAUAGGUGAAACCAAAUAAAAAGGAUUGCAUGCUAGGUAGGCGUUCCACACUAGUUUUGCAUACUUGUUCAAUCACUUUCAUUGAUCUUAAUGCUUAGAAUAAUUUGUUGAUAGGAUAGCGUCUAUACCUUGAUCGGUUAUUCUAAAGGCUAAGUAAUGGUGCGUUCAUCUUACUUAAGUAUUCAAGGGAAGUAAUAAGGACUUACGCAGUGCGUUCACGGUUUGUUCUUGAUUGAUACCGAUUUGUGACUUAAUGAUUGAAGCUUUGGUUGUUAACAUGUCUUGAAACAUACUUGGUGGUGGAUUUCCAAGUCUCUAACGUCUCAUCCAUUUGAUAUUUUCUGAUUUAUUUUGUUUCUUUAUUUUCUCUUGUUUACAAUCACAAAACCCCAUAUCUCUAGUACUAUCAUCUUUUGUUUUGUAAUUAACGUAAUUGUAAAGGUACCCUCAAUCCCCGGCUUGUAACGAUACCCUUAUUUGCUAUAUACUAUAAUUGACACAAAAGGGUUUUUAAUUGAAACGCCCGAUUUCGGUCGCUAUCAAUUUUGACAUCCCAUUUUCACAUGAACUGCCAACCUUGCAACUGUUGAAGCAGCUCUCGCAGUUGAAAUUGUCAGUCAUUGGGUUCACAAUAUGACAUGUGCAACAUAUCUCUGUUAUCUUGCAUUUCUUCCCACAAGACCCGCAGUUGUGGAGAAAACAUGUCAAAACGUUUCCUCCCCUCUAGCCAUCAUGAAUAUAUUGAGAUUUAACUCUUUAAACCUAGAUAUGAAGGUUCCACACCCAGACUCUUUCCAGCUCGACCACUUGUGAUAGUUUGAACUUUGAAACCCAAGUAACAUAAUAUGAUGAUACUUUACAUGAUGGUACUUUACAUUUCUUGUUUGCUUUGAUUUAAUUAGCUAACGAUAGUUUGCACGAAGUGCCAUUGUAUUGAAGGUAAAACAAAAGAGCUAGCAGCUGACAAAUGAUUACAUUAAUCGGUCAUAAAAAAUAUACAUAUGAAGAAGCUUGGAUUCCAAUGAACACAUAGUAUGUUGCAAACUUGCAACCAAUCCUUACUGGGUAGAAAUUUAUAAGUUUCAUGUCAAUCUAUGCGUAGUCGCACAUCCCAUUUUCACAUGAACUGCCAACCUUGCAACUGUUGAAGCAGCUCCCGCAGUUGAAAUUGUCAGUCAUUGGGUUCACAAUAUGACCUUUGCAGCAUAUCUCUGUUAUCUUGCAUUUCUUCCCACAAGACCCGCAGUUGUUCUUGUCUGUGCCCAUAUCAACACAUCUGUUGUUGCAGCAGUUUGGUCCGGGGCUGCCUUUAGCGGUACAAGUCCCAGGUUUCAGGCUACAUUGCGAGGUCACAGGCCGAGGAGUCUGCGUGGCAAGGAAGCGGCUUCUUCCCCUCAUGGGAAAAGCUGCAGGGGUUUCUUCAUCUGGUGUUGCCAUCAGAGGAAUGGGUAAAGCCAUCAACAAUAUUGCUAGCAGAACGAAAACCUCAAUGGAUUUCAUGUUUGAGUUGCCUGGGUGUUAUACGAAUAAUAGAACUGAAUAAUAAGAGAGAAACUUACAAGUCACAACUGAAUUAGUUGUAGAGGGAAUAUAAAAGAUGGUGAAAGAGUGAAUGUAUUGUAUUGCUUUGGAUCGAUGGAGAAGAAUGUAGAGAUGAACAACUAUAUAUAGAGAAUAAUCAGCCCUAACGAGCUAGGGCUGAUAUAUGUCAUGCAUUUUCAGAACGUGUUUCUCCUUUUCGAUCUGCUGUCUACAGUAAUAUUAUAUAAAUUGCAUUAUGAUCAGUUAGCAUAAGAAUCUGCAUGUCCAUUAAUUUGGUUGGUCAAGGAUUCACAAAACGUUAAUCGACUAGUAAGCAAUAUUAGGCUCUCAAAGAAUAUAUGCAUAUUAUUUUAUUUUAUUUUGAGAUAGAUCCUUCAAAUAAUUAGGUGAAUAUGAACAAGAAUACGCACAAAUUACUUGGUAGGUAAUCAAGCUCAUGAUUCAUGAAAGCUCCCAAUUAUUUCCUUGAGCUUAUGCAUGCGUAUCGAUCAGUUUGUGAACUCAAUGGCGAGUGAUAACCAGGAACAGAUCAUAAAGACUAAUAUCAAUCUCUUCAACAUAUAUAUUAUCGUUGGAUAUAAUUAAUCAUCAGUUACAAAAUCUCAAAGCACAGCAAAAACCGGUCGAAAUUGACAUGCAUUCGUCUAAGUUAUUAAUAGGGAUUAUAGCUAUUAACCAAAUUAGUAUACAUGCAGGCACAGAAAAUUCUGGAUGGUCUGCAUUGUCAUCUCAGCUGGCCUUCUUAUUUGAAGGGUCACUUAAAAAUAUUCUUCAACUUUCAAUGAUUAUAAAGUAAAAUGUGUAGCUAAAGAAUGUUGUUAGCAAUUUAGUAUCAUUUAGCCUAAACUUUCAUGAAAGAAAUUUGGCAAAUGCUGUUUUAGCAAGUUUUGUCAUUUUCCCAUUUCUUUGCAAGCAAAAAAACGUACUGGCUGAAGUUGUCGCAUUGUUUAUUGGUUUAUAUCUGAAACAAAAGUUUAAUACAUGUUCAUAUAUACAAGAACAUAGGAACAGAUAUUCUGACCAACUUAAUUCUUCCCGUGGAUUAUUUCCAAAAAAAAUAAAAAAAUUUGCAUGAACAAGUAAUGUUCUUUGUUUAGUAUACGGGACGCUCGUUUUUGAGUUUGUUUGUGGCCUUCUUGCUAUAUCUAGCUGCAAAUGUUCUGCAUAUUCGAAUGUUCGGCCCUUCCUUCGUGAUUGUUUUGAAGAUGAUGAUAAAUUUUUGUACACACGGGGUGCAGAAACACUGUGCAAUCAUUUAUAUGUAUUUGUAUAAAAGUUAUCUAAUCUAACCGUACAAGUGGUAUUGUAUAUCUACGCGUGGUGUAAUAAAUAGUGAAGAUUCUCGCAGCAUCUUACGCCAAAUAGAAAAAAAAAAUGGAAAAAGAAAAGAUCCAAAGCUAUAAUUUAUACAAUACGAAUUUGGGUCUCUUUCGUAGUCCGGGCAAUUUCAACCCAUUGGACUUGGCUGGUGGAUAAUAAUGACCAGUUUGGGCUGGGCUAUUACACAACAUUUUAGAGUCCAUUAGAAUUGUGGGACAUAUGCUCUUGCGACUUUUGGUUGGAGAUGUAACAAUUCUCCGUGUUCAUGAUCACUCUUUUUCUGAUUUCUAAAUGUCGGCAAUCCCAGCAAGCAAGAAAGUUCAGGGUAAUUAGGUGGCGGCUUCCAAGAAUCAUACUUGGCUUCUCGAACAAAGCUUCACAACCAAUUGGAUGCGCAAGUAAAGUCAAGCAGAAGGUGUUGAGCAAGUUUUUCCUCUACUAUAAAUCAUGUUGUCAUGAUGCUUUCACUGAUGGAAUUCAGAGUUAAAUAUCAGAUUAGUCGUAGUCCGGUUUCAAAGAAUAGUUAACCAUGGAUCGCUCUUUGGUGUUUCUUCAUCGACUGUCGAAAAAGAAAUCCAAAAUAUGGAGCAAUAUGCUGUCAUUUCUUCGUUUGAGAAGUAAGAAUUAUGCAAUAGACAAAGUAGUAUCUUCUGAUUGGAACUGGGUGGAUCCAUUGCCACUGCCAUAUAGUGUUCUUUCAGAAGCUACUAAUGGCUUUUCUUCCAGAAAUUUGAUCGGCCUUGGUAGUUUUGGGUCCGUUUACAAAGCAGCUCUUGAUGAAGAUUACUUCUUUUCGGCCAAGUAUGUUAGAGUUCAUCUUGUUGCUGUGAAGGUGUUUAAACUGUCACACCGUGGAGCUUUGACGAGUUUCGUAACCGAAUGCAACGUCUUAAGAUAUAUAAGACAUCGAAAUGUGGUCAAGAUUUUAACUGCAUGUUCUAGUGUCGAUUUUUAUGGUAAGAACUUCAAAGCUCUGGUGUAUCAGUACAUGGAGAAGGGGAGCUUAGAGGAAUGGUUGCAUCCAACUUCUGGAACACAACAGGCUAAUAAGUAUUUAAAUCUCUAUCAGAGGCUCAGCAUAGCAAUUGAUGUCGCUUGUGCGCUAGAUUAUCUUCAUAAUCACGUCGAAAGUCCAAUAGUUCAUUGUGAUAUCAAGCCAAGCAAUGUUCUUCUAGACAAGGAGUUUACUGCACAUAUAUCUGACUUUGGACUAGCAAGGUUUCUCUCAAGAACGGAAAAUGAUUCUGCAAUCGGCUUAAGAGGAACUGUUGGUUAUGCCGCACCAGGUAGCAUAUAUGUUCUUCACUGUUGCUGAUUACAUUAAUUACUUGUUCUUAAAUUUUAAAUUUUGGAUUAAUUACUGGUCACUCCAUUAACUUUCAUGCGCUCGACAGUUUACUCCAUUAACUUUCAAUUUCAAUCGAUUACUCCAUUAACUAUCCAAUGUCACACAAUUAGGUCCAUCCGUUAAGUGGCCGUCCAAAUCAGUGGUUAAGUUGCUGACUGGACAUAUUUUUCAACUGAAAAUUCCAUUAAUACCCUCUCUCUCUCUCUNNNNNNNNNNNNNNNNNNNNNNNNNNNNNNNNNNNNNNNNNNNNNNNNNNNNNNNNNNNNNNNNNNNNNNNNNNNNNNNNNNNNNNNNNNNNNNNNNNNNNNNNNNNNNNNNNNNNNNNNNNNNNNNNNNNNNNNNNNNNNNNNNNNNNNNNNNNNNNNNNNNNNNNNNNNNNNNNNNNNNNNNNNNNNNNNNNNNNNNNNNNNNNNNNNNNNNNNNNNNNNNNNNNNNNNNNNNNNNNNNNNNNNNNNNNNNNNNNNNNNNNNNNNNNNNNNNNNNNNNNNNNNNNNNNNNNNNNNNNNNNNNNNNNNNNNNNNNNNNNNNNNNNNNNNNNNNNNNNNNNNNNNNNNNNNNNNNNNNNNNNNNNNNNNNNNNNNNNNNNNNNNNNNNNNNNNNNNNNNNNNNNNNNNNNNNNNNNNNNNNNNNNNNNNNNNNNNNNNNNNNNNNNNNNNNNNNNNNNNAGAGAUGUCGAGGAGCUGCGGGGUGAGCUACUGGUGGUGUGGUUGGUUGCUGGUGGUCUGGUUGCGGUGUAUUUGAUUACGGUGUUGAUGUGGUUGGUUGGUUGUUGGUAUUGUUGUUGCGGUGUUGUUGAAGGUCCAACUGGUGAUGUGGUGGCGUUGUGGUUGCGGAGGAGGUGGAGGACGAGAGAGAAGAGAUUGAAGAGAUUAAGGAGGGAGGGAGGGUGUUAAAUGGAAUUUUCAAUUGAAAAAUAUGUUCAGUCAGCAACUUAACCACUGAUUUGGACGGCCACUUAACGGAUGGACCUAAUUGUGUGACAUUGGAUAGUUAAUGGAGUAAUCGAUUGAAAUUGAAAGUUAAUGGAGUAAACUGUCGAGCGCAUGAAAGUUAAUGGAGUGACCAGUAAUUAAUCCUUAAAUUUUACUAAGCAUGCUCAGUUAUUACUCUUUGCAAUUAUAAGAGAUGAACUAUAUGUAAUUAUGUAUUAUGUGAUUUUGAGUUGUAGAGUAUGAAAUGGGAGGUGAAGUGUCACCAUAUGGUGAUUUGUACAGCUUCGGAAUUCUCUUGCUAGAGAUUUUUUCAGGGAAGAAACCCACUGACGAUCUGUUCUGUCGCGGCUCCAACUUUCAUAGUUAUUGUAAGGCUGCUUUGUCAAAAGGAAUUACAAAAAUUGCAGAUCCACUGCUUGUUCGAGAGGCCAAAUUAGCCGCAAACAUCUUCGGCUUACGAGACGAAGAAAUUGAAAAAUGCUUCAGUGAGAUCUUUAGAAUUGGUAUCAGGUGUUCGACUGAAUCACCAAGAGACCGACUAGAUAUCAGAGAUGUUGUAUUUUCAUUGCGUUACAUUAGGGAACGUGUUUGGCUUGGGAUCACUUUACCUUGUCAACGUUUACCUAAUUAGAUAUAUAUUAUUGGUUGUGACUCUACACUUUUGCUACAUUUUUGUUGAUCACUACUACUACAUUUUUGAUUCUUGAAGUUUGCUUUGAGGUACAAAAUUUAAUCUCCUCCCACUUACAGAACUAUCUCGCUAUUCUCAACUUUUAUUUACUUGGAACAAUGAGACUCACAAUUACAAUAAAAGAAUCUUCAAAGCAAUCUACAAAAUUUCGUUCCCUACUUGUACAACACUUCCACUUAUGAGUUAUGAUCCCCCCCAAAGAAAGAAAAGAAUGGUAGUUCAAAUGAAUAAUAUUGCUGCCGUGAGUUAUAUAUAUAUGUACCAUUAGUAUCCAAUCACAACAGAUGUUGAUGUUCUUCUUCUUCCUCAGAAAUGGUGCUCAACAUCCAACCCCGUUCAUAUUUGGAUCCCUUAUUAUGAUCACUCUCAGAAGCAGCAGCAACAACACAAGCACUAAGCCUACCCUUCAAGCAUUCUUGCAGGAUCACGCUGCCUAGCUCCUCAGAGUUCCGGUGACCUAGUUUGUUUUUGUCCACCUGCGCCAUCAACUCCUUGAGUUGCCUCUUCGUCAUACGCACCUUAACUCUCAACAAACUGUUCGGCGACGGCGUUCUAUCUGCUCCUUCAUUCUCAUCAACCGGGUGCACCACGCCGUAGUCCUUUCCAGCAAAGUUUCCCAUUUCCUGUAAUCUAUCAAGCUUUGAUGUUCACUCCUAACUCGACCUCUUUGCGUACGAAUGCGAUGACUGAAAGUCUGAAAGAAUGGAUCACUGUGUGUAUCUUUCAGGUUAAGUUGGUUAUUGGAUAUAGAAGCAACAUCGAUACCUGUUAUAUAUACACGUCAAGAAGAGAGGUGCACGGUUUAGCCCGUAGUUAAUUAAACACGACACUACACCAAAACUGACAAAGUCUUCGUCAAUGAUCAAUGAUCAAUGAUCAAUAUCAAUGAGGAGCAGCCCGUAGACCAUAAUUAGCUUGAUUUGUAUGUUGGUGGCUUCUAGGUUAAUUAUUCUAAACCCGGCCAGUCCUGGAGUUAUUAAUCCAUUGACCAUGUAGGUUUUUUUUAGAAUUUAUAAUAUCUGUUAAUUGACAUUUAAAAAUUAAAUUUAUACAAAUAUUGGAUUGAAAAAAUUACAUAAACAAAAAUUACAUAUGUUAACCAUUUGUUUCCGCAAAGGGGAGAAGAAUUAAACAUUAAUUGGAUUAAAUACAGCAACUUCUGAAACCCGCAGAGGCACGUACAGACUUCAUCUUCUCCGCCGCUUUCUCUUCCAUAUAUGCUUUUGCUUGUUCGUCUUCAACCUCUAGAUUCCAAAACACGGGUUUCCAAAAAUAGUUUUCACACUCUUAUUUCAAUCAUUCAAUACCAGCCUGGACCUCUGCUUCGUCUCAUUCUCCAAUCUCAAACAACCUGUAUUUAUCACAUCAGGCUCCUCAUAAUUAAACACUUCGAAUAAUGCAAUUUUGUGCAACAGUAUCAUGCAAUUUUAUAUAUGUGCUAUAAAUUCCACGUUAAUUAUAUAGAUACAGUCAACAUUCCCUACACAACCUAUGAUCGAGUCCUUGCAUAUAUAGUUGCAUGUAUAUAUAAUUGUGUGUGUGUAUAAACUAUAGAGGUUAAUUACAUACACUCUAAAAUAUGGUCUUUUAUUUCAUCAAAACCUUACUGUUUAAAGAGAUUUUAAUCUACAACCAUGCAUUAAGAAAUAUUGAUUCAGAAAUCCGGUCCUUUAGAAGCUCUCACACUGGAGCUAGUCCAAGGAUCAAAGUCAUCAACCCCGUGAAGCAAACUUGGUCUAGGAAAUUGAAUUCAUAGCUGACAUGCGAGUCGGGUUUUAUAACUUUGACAUCACCGAUAAUCGAUCAUGAAUAUAUGUUAUGCUUGUGAACAUAAAAGAUGCUUCACAUUUCGAAGCAUCCUAUAAUCGGCCAGGGCUUGGCAUAUAUGCUUAAGAACAAAUCAAAAGGUCUGUGAAAUAUAAACGUGUGCAUGACCUAAAUAAAAUUAUGAAAUAAAAACUAGAAAGAUCCCAUGCACAUUAUUGGCUUGCUUGGUCAAAUUAAUGGCAUCAAGAUUCCAGCAGGGUCGCAUUUUGACACUUGACCAAGACUACGUACGUCGUUCACAGCGUAAUCCCCCAUCCACUCCGUAGCACAUAUAUCUUGUUGCUUUCUGUUCUCAGUUUACCGUCUUUGAUUCAUCCACUGGUAUCACAUAAUUAAGGAAUAAGAUUUGAACUUGAAUAGCAUUCAAUCAGAUAACCGUCGUAAUUUACUAUGUACGAUAACAAGUCUCUACAUGCAUGCACGUACGUAUAACCAAUUUCGAAAUUGAAAUUUGUCAAAGUCAUACUCGCGAUAACAAUGUCACGCCAUCAUCAGGUGUUGCAUGUACAUGUGAUAACGUGCUUGAAUGAAGAGUUUGUUUCAAAAUUAUGAUAAAUUCUCUUAAUCAAAGCAGCAGAUUGAGCAAAUAUAUAGAUAAUAAAUAUAAAUGUUUGAUGUAAUGUAUUCAUAGUUUCAGGGGCGGACACAGCUUAUACUCUGGUGGGGCUCAAGCCCAACCAAAAAUUUUGGGCAAAAAAAAACUAGGUGUAUGUGUACAAUUUUGUGUGUGUGAUAUAUACUCAAGCCCAACCAAUAUUUUGUGAUAUACACUCACCCGACCCUAAUCCCUAAUUGGCGAUCCUUUCUUAGUUUCUCUGUUUGUCGACGGCGACGCUCAUCCAGCCCGGUAGCAUCUCUUCUCCCAGUCCCUUUGGGCUCCGGCGGCAUCUCUUCUCUCAGUCCCUCCGGGCUCCGGCGGCAUCUCUUCUCUCAGCCUCUCUAAUCUCCAUUCUUCAAUUUCUCAAUCCUUGUCCUCUCUAAUCUGCAUGAUUGUAAGUGAGACCUCACCUGCUGUUCCCUUCCGCCUCCAACCCUCCACUCACCUAUCCGACGAUUCCUCUUCCCCUCGGUAGCUCCGCCUUCACUCUUCUCCAGUCCUCCACGGCUCCACCAUAAUCUCCUUCUUCCCGACCUCCUCCGGUCCUCCCCGAACCCCCGAUAGCGAUGACUCGCCUCCGGCCCUCCGCCUCCACUCACCUACAGAAAUUAGACAUAAUCUCUUUCUUCUUAUAUAGAAUCUGAAAUUGUAAGUUCUGAUUGAGCUCCUACAUUUUGCAUGGUUGUACUGGAAAAUAAAAAAUUUUGUCCUUCAGCCAAAGUUCAAGCCUACCCUAUUUUUAAAUCCUGGAUCCACCACUACAUAAUUUCAUACAUGUGUUUUUCUUUUGUUGGAAAUAAGAUAACAAGCCACCUUAGUUAUGUUAGAAGGUUAAUAAUGUACACAUCCGGUCAGUAUUCAAACUAAUGUCCAGAGAAGUAUCUUAGCAAAGCUAGACUCGAAUGGUCCUCAAGCUGCUAGUCACAAACUAGUAAGAGUUAAGUGUCAAACUCUUACUAAGAGAGUUUCAUACUACACACGACGUGUUUCAAACAUGUGUUUUAUUAUUCACACUGUAUAUAUGCAAGUAAUUGCACGCAACAUCAUAACUAAAUUAAUCAAUUUAAGCUACUGCCAAUUGAUUAAUGAUCGAUGGUAAAGUGGGAGUCCGAGAUCCUUUCAGCUUAGCCAGUGCAAUCACACCUAGCUGGCUAAAAUAGAGGCUAUAUGUUCAUCAUAGUUUUGGUUUGUCUUCGUAUAUGUUAGUCACCAAACAUCAUCAUACAUGCAGGAAAAGAUGCAUCACUUUCCAAUUGAUACCAUAUUGAUAAUCAUAACCGGUCGAAUUUCUAGUUUCUGUCACAUAUAUAAUCCAAAACUUUUCAGAACGUUUCUUUGUUUUAGGAAACUUUCUUUCGGCUACUUAGCAUUACAGAUUUUUCUGCAAACUACUUGAAUUAUGUUUUUUUUUUUUUUUGAGGGAAAGGUGGAAAUACCUACCCUUUAAUUUGUUAUUUUGAAAUAGAACUACUUGAAUUAUGUAUAAUUCAAUCAUCACAAAGGAAAACUAAUUUCAAUUCGUAAUUGAGUGUCGCCGAAAGGUGAAUUGUGCAUGGUGUGGUGGAGAGAUAUUUAGCC
rnacentral:lncRNA from 1 species